rnacentral:lncRNA from 1 species
UGAGGAUCUCGCAGAUAGCAGCGACACGAUAUUCUUUCUACCGGAGAUCAUGUGGCAUCGACCCAUACAAUAUCCCCCCUUAUCCCUGUCAAAGAUGUAGACAUGGGAAUUGCCUGAAAACCGAAGGGGCGCUUCCGAAAAGUUUCGCCAGUUCACGGCAAAACGCGCCCGCUGUUAGGGUUUGUAAUAUGUUCAUUAGACAAAGUUUUGGGUCUUCAUUAUUUUGUUGUUGUUGAGGGAAUUAGAUCUUCAUUUGUUGGUGUAAUAACUGUAGCUGAAGACGGCUGUUGUCUGGCAAUCAAUGGUGAAAGGGCUUUUCAUGAAACUGUCCGUGCCGCGUCUCAGACGGAGGGAGGGAGCCUUCGGGUUUAAGCAUUACGACCCACUUAAGUAUGGCAGCAAGAGGUUGGGGGGAAUGAAGCAGGAAAGGCGCCGUCGCCAUUGCUCAGUGUCGCAUCAGGCCUGUUCUCCUCGGCUAGGUUAACAGUCGCCGUCGGCCGCGCGCGGUUAGCCGGACGGCCCUACGGCGCGUGACCACAGCACGGAGUGGACGGGACGGGACGGAACGGCGAUGAUGUAUCAUGGGAUGGAGGCAUAGCGAGUCGUCGCUGUCGUGGCGGGUGAGGGAAACAGCAGGGCAGCCAUGAAUGCGCGCGCUGGUGGUAGGAGGUAGGUGGUGGUAGGUUAGGGGGUGGUGGUGUGCGGAUACCGGAUAGUGAUGAAAUCGGAUGAUGGACGGAUGGAGGCCUGCCUGCCUGAUAACGCUGCCGUCCUUCGGUCCUGCGAUCCUGCCUCUCCGGCUUUAAAUCUCGCACAGAGGAAACGCGUUGUCCGAGCCCCCAAAAACAUUCAAGUCUUCUCCAUGGGCUGCUCUACGCGUGAAACGUUUGAGUCGCCCACAACAGGCCGCCGGAAUGAAAUCUUUGGCUCAAAGUGGAAUUCCAGUUCCAUUUUCCGGGAGCUGUGGUACAACAUGAUGCAUCUUCAGAAAGUUCGCAGCAUGCUAUGCAUCUUGUGCUGAGAGGCGGACACGUACUCUGGACUUAUCAAAUCAUGCGUGUGGGCUGCCUCUUCACCCUAAUCUUCCACAAUCAUGUUGUGCGAUACUAUUACUCAACAAAUCAUCACUUGCGACAUUGUCUUCAGAUCUCACAUCUUGCGGCUCCACGAACAAUAUCCAAAUGAGCUUGGAACACUCCAAAGGGCCCCUCAACAUCCUUCCUAGCAGCUUCUUGCAUUUGUGCAAAGAGAUGUCAUUUGUUACGUUAGGGAUUAAUAAAUUAAUAAAUUAAUUUAUCGUAUGAAGUAUGGGUUCGGUUGGAGACACUCUUUACAGAUUAUUCAUCCACUAGUUCCCCUGAAUUUUGCAUAGAACCCAAUAACAAAAUGAUGCCACACCAUUUUAUAACUUUCAUCCGUAAUCCCACCAUCCGUAAGUGUAACACAAAACUCUUUACAACAACAAUUAAUAGAAACGAGAUUCCAUGUUUGUAGUGGAUAAUGAUGGUCGGGCCGGUGGGCUUGUUUUAUUUUACCAUAAAGUGAAUAAAAUCCAGUUGAACUUUGUUUCUUCCCAUGCUAUUGAUAUUUUUUUCAUGCCCGAGGAUGUUGUACAAUGGCGAUUUAUGGUCUUUUAUGGUCACCCGGCUUUGUCUGAACGUCAUAUGUCUUGGGAUGAUAUCUGUAACUUACAUAAAAAGAGUGACCAUCCUUGGUUGUUCUAGGAGAUUUUAGUGAAACUGUAUACUCAUCUCAAAAAGAGGGCGGUAAUGCGAGACCAAAUGAUAUGAUGAAGAAUUUCCAUGACUGUCUCAUGAAGUGUGGUCUGUAAGAUUUGGGUUUCGUUGGUGACCCUUUUACUUGGAGGAGAGGUGAUAUCACGGAAAGACUUGACCUAGAAAUUUGUCAUGUCGAGUGAGAAAAUUCCCUUAUGUUGUGGUUAUAAAUGAGGAACAUGUGCAUUCUGACCACCUUCCUUUGUUUCUGCAUGAUGAUUAUUUUGACGAUAAUAUGUUUACUCGUCUAAAGGAUCGUGUAAAAUAGGUUGAAGCUGGAUGGCUCAAAGAAGAGACAACUGAGAAAAUUGUGAAGACGGCUUGGGAAAAGGCCAAAAUGGCGAGUGUUGGUCCAUCUCUUGUAGUGCGCACUCGGACGGUGCACGCUGAUUUGUAUUCUUGGAAUCGAUAGUCCGAGGGACCGAAACGACGAAUCAAUUUGUUUUUUUAAUAAUGAAUUUGCGGUGUGGUCCUAUGAAUGCAGAGCCUAUUUAACGACAGAAGGAAGUUCUUGUUCUCAAUGAGCAUCUUUUGGAUCAAGAAGAAACUUUCUAGCUUCAUAUAGGUCCUGCAAAUUGGCUGAUGCAUGGGAUCAUGAUACAUCAUUUUUCCAUAGUGCAACUACAGCCAGAAAAAAGGAGAAAUAGUAAAAAAAACACUUCUUGAUGACAUGAGUGUUUGGCGACAAGGUACGGAACUGAAGUAUCAUAUCACGAGCUAUUUUCUAAUCCUUUUACCUUAGAAGUUUUGCAACUGUACCGGGAAGUUUUAUGUCUUGUUCAAAGAAGAGUGUCUGGUGGGAUCAAUAAUGCCCUCCUUGCACCUUACUCUACAGUAGAUGUUCGAAAGACUCUUCCGCUAUUGGAGAUUUAUAAGCUCAGGACCAGAUGGAGUCAAUGCUAUUUUUUGUAAAGAUUUUGGCCCAUAUUAAGGAAUGGUCUCAUUGAGGAGGUUCUGCAAUUGGUGAAUACACAUACUAUUCUGUCAGGAUGGAAUGAUACUGUGAUUGUGAUGAUCCAAAAGGUUAAUUAUUCAGAGAAGGUAAACUCAAUUUAGAACAAUCAGUUUGUGUAAUGUGGUGUACAAGAUUAUCACGAAAAUGGUGGCUACUCAUUUGAAGGUUUUUCUGCCAGACAUCAUCAGUCUGGCUCAAAGUGCAUUUGUGCCCAAAAGAAUGAUUGUGGACAAUGUUUUAGUGGCUUAUGAGUGCUUCCAUACAAUAAAGAACAAGAGAGAAGGCAAAGGUGGUAUGUGUGAAAUUAAACUUGAUACGCAUAAAGCUUAUGAUAGGGUUGAGUGGUAUUUCUUGAAGAACAUUAUGUUGAAACUUCGCUUCCAGGAGAAUUGGGUCAAUUAGAUUAUGCAAUGUCUAUCCACUAUUGAAUACAGAGUUUGGUUUGAUAUAGAAGAAAGUGAGAGUUUCAAGUGUACGAGAAGUUUAAGGUAGGGAAAUCCCUUGUCUCCUUAUCUUUUCUUGUUAUGUAUGGAGGGUCUAACUGCUCUCUUAACUCAUGCAGAGGAGGAUGAAAUGAUUUCUGGAGUGAAAGCUUGCAGAGAUGCCCCCUCUAUCAUCAAUCUUCUCUUUGUCGAUGACUUGUUGAUCCCCAUGAGAACUAAUAUUUACAAUAUUGAGGCUUUGAAGUUAGUUAUGGACUCUUAUUGUGCAGCUUCGAGCCAAUGGUGACUGCCGAUAAAUCAAGCAUCUUUUUUAGUCCUAAUAUGAGUGUGAAAACUAGAGAACAAAUGUGUACCACUCUAAAUAUCAUGACCGAGGCUCCAAUGACAGAUAUUUAGGUUUUUCCAGCCAAUAUGGUUUUGGAUAAACUGGUUGUUUUCGGUAUCUGAUUGAUCGUAUUAUCAUGAAAAUCAGUGGUUGGAAGGAAAGAAUAUUAUUUGCUGGAGGGAAGGAAAUUCGUCUCAAAUAUGUUAUUCAAGCUAUUCCCACAUAUGCAAUGUCGGUCUUCAUAAAUGGAUUUGUGAAAGAAUUACUGACGUGAUAUCACAUUUUUUGUGCGGAGACGAGGACAAUCAGAGAAGGAUGCAUUGUAUGGAUUGGCGGAAAAUAUGUGUCCAAAAAAUCAAGGAGGUAUGGUUUUUUUUGUGAUAUUCAUUGCUUUAAUAUGGCAAUGCUGGUAAAACAGGCUCGGUGUCUUCUUGAGAACUCUGAUUCUAUAUGUACCACUGUUUUGAGAGCUAAGUAUUUUCCUGGUGUUAAUUUGUUGAAUAGCAAGUUAAAAAAGGAUCCUCGUUUACUUGGCAAAGCAUUGCGGCGGGGGUUAAUUCUGUUAAGCAUGGUUAUAUGUGGCGAGUUGGGAAUGGUCAGCAUGUUAAUAUUGGGAUGAUGCUUGGAUCUAAAAUUAUGCUAAUCGAAAAGUUACCACUCCUAAAGGGUCAUUUGUUAUCUAAGGAUGUUAGAUUUAUUGGUCUCGUUUAAAAUAAUUGGGAUGAAAAUCUGGUCAGACAAACGUUGUGCCAAUUGAUUCACAACGAGAACACACUAUCCAUCUUCCUCAACACGAGAUGUCAGAUUUUGUCGCUUGGAAUUACACAAAGACUGGGAUGUUUUCGGUUCAAUCAACCUAUUUCAUGGAAUGGGAUCAUCAACAUGGGAGAAAAUUGUGACAUACUAAUGGUAUGUGACAAACCAUAGUUAAUCCUACUUGGUGUAAGAUUUGGAAGCUUUUGUGCCUGACAAAGGUUAAAAUUUUCAUUUGACGUAUGUUGCAUGUCACCCUCCUAUUCCGUGUUACGCUUGCGAAUAGACAUCUGAAAGUCUUGCUCCAAUGUCUUUCUUGUUAUUCUGGUCCAUAAGAUACAAAGCACUCGUUGUUUCUUUGCCAUAAAGAAAGGGAGGUUUGAAGAAGGUUGGGGAUGGACGAAAUUAUUAAUAAAGCAUGUGAAGUUGAUUGUUGGAGUUCUUCUUUCGCCAGACCAUGCCUUGUCUAUUAUGGGUCUUUAGAAUGUUUGUGAGAUGAUCAUCAUUUCUGCUUUGUAUUUGUGGUGGAAAAGGUGUAAACUAUUUCACGAGGACAUAAUUUAAUAUGCUUAUUAGAUUACUAUGGGGAUUCAUGCUCUAACAGCUAACUAUGUUAUUGCUUCCUCUCCAAAUGUUUCCAUGAAAAUAGGGGGUUGGAUCUGCCCCCUUGGAUUUUGUUAAACUUAAUAUUGAUGCAUCUUUUGAUCAAGAUUUGCUUAGAGGCAUCGCUGGUUGGUCCCGAGGGACGAUAAAAGGUAAACCCAUUGCUAGGGAAAUAUGAAAAUUCAUUGGUAUGCGGAUGUCUUGACGGCUGAAGCCUUGGCGCCUAGAUUCGGGCUUACCCUUGCGCAAUGGGUGGGGUACAAUCAUCUCAUUAUUAAUUUGGGUAAUCUGGAGGUCAUUGACACCAUCAAGAAUGGAGGGCGAUCAAUGGAACGGCGGCUGUAGUUUUCAAUGACUGAUAUUACUUUGCUUGUGAUUUUCCUAUAUCUAGUUUCGAACAUUGCAGAGAAACAAAUAAGGUUGCUCAUGAACUUACUAGGUUUGCUAGAAUUUCCUUCGACCGUUGAUUGGUUUGAGGAGCCUUUGAAUGAAAUUAUACCCAUCUGCAUAAACAAUUUAAUUGGUAUUUCAUAAGUUGCUCAUGAGCUUGCUUGGUUGGCUUGAUUUUCUUCGAAUGAUGAUUGGUUUGAGGAGCUUUGAAUUAAAUUAGACCCAUCCUCAUGAACAAUCUAAUUGGUAUUUCAAAUGAAUAAAGUUUCUCAGCUUUUUUUAUAAGGAUGUAAGUUUUUUUAAGGAUAUUGCCAUUGAUUCAUUAAUCAUAAGUCACAGUACAACCGUACGACGCACACACAUGGAAUCAUCCAGAAAAGGCCGAAGGAAGGUAUGAGUCUAAGAACAUUUGCAGAUCCCCUCUCCUAAAAAAAUAUACAAGAAAGACCCUAGGAAUCACUACAAUCGCCAUCGCCACCACGUGCCAUUGUCAGAGUUGAAAAAGUACCACUGUUUGAUUAGGCUUUGUGAGCCUAUUGAGAGGCCCGUCGUUGGCGGAGCCAAAUUUGUUGUGGCGCAUCGAACGGGGNNNNNNNNNNNNNNNNNNNNNNNNNNNNNNNNNNNNNNNNNNNNNNNNNNNNNNNNNNNNNNNNNNNNNNNNNNNNNNNNNNNNNNNNNNNNNNNNNNNNNNNNNNNNNNNNNNNNNNNNNNNNNNNNNNNNNNNNNNNNNNNNNNNNNNNNNNNNNNNNNNNNNNNNNNNNNNNNNNNNNNNNNNNCCGCAUAAGUAACUACUGCAUCGACGUUAUCCAAGCACAACACAAGAACCGUCAUCCAUAGAUCAUCAUCUUAGUCGUUGGACCGACACCUUCCCACACAAAUGGAAAAUGUCUCUUAGGGAAACCACCACCAGGCCACCAGAGGACACCACAUCUGUUGCACCAAAGGAACAACACAAAAGACAACCUCCCACGAAUCCCUCAACCCCACCGCAGUGGCGCUGCCGAGACGAGGGCAAAAUCGAGGAAAAAAUAUUCCAAUUAUUGAGGUCGCUGUCAUCAAAACGACGACGAGGGAAACACACAUUCUAAUCCUAACUGCACAACUAAGGUGAAGAUCCCAGACCCCCCCUCCCCCUCACUCGUCGCUAGGGCGGCGGAGGAGGAGAGAACCCGCGGCCUUGCUGGCUGAAGAGGAGAGAACCCACAGCCUCGUCGGCAGAAGAGGAGAGAACUGGUCGCGGUCUUUUCACCUUAUAGGGAGCCUGGUGUGACUUGACGUACUGCCCGUAUGACAUUACGUGAAUGCUAGUGGCUUUCGAAUCCUCCCUGAAGGUUGCUGGUUUUUAUUAAUUAAGUGAUAUUUGCUAUAGUGAUUAAAGAAGGAUUUCGCUACAAAUCAAAUGUUAGAUUUUUAACAUGAAAAACCAAAUAUUUUUAUAGCAAAUUAUGUUUUCGCGAGGAUGACAAGCAUUUGUCACGAGGAUGGCUGACAAAACGCUUGCCAUCCUCGUGACAAUAUAAUUGGUCAUAAAAAUGUUUGAGUAGUCAUGCUUAAAAAUCUUUUAACAUUAUUACAGUUAAGCCCUUGCAUCUUCAUCCGCAAAAGAAAAGAAAAGGUCUUGCAUCUUUGUUAGUGGGGAUUAAACGGACGUGAUGUAUUUGAGCCCAAGCUCAAAUAAGCUCGGGUGAACAGUAACCCCGAAAACAACUUAGAAAAAUUCAAAAAAUUAUGGAUUUUUUUGGGUGCAAACAUUGACAAAAGUUCUCAAUGCUCACAAAAUUUCAACACAAAAUAACAUUCGUGGAAGUUGCAAAAAAAAAAAACAAAAUCAAUGCUCCAAAAAUGUUAUUUCCAAAAACAUUUUGGAGUACUAUUUUUUUUUGCCACGUCUUGUGUGAAUGUCAUUUUUGGAUGAUAUUUUGCAAACACUGAGAAAUUUUGUCAAUGUUUUCAUCCAAAAAAAUUCAGAAUUUUUUAAAAUGUUUUUCAUUUUUUUGAUUUUACUGUUCAUCCAAGCUCAAAUGAGCUCGGGAGCAGAACAUGACUUUCGGGAUUAAACUCUCAUAUCUGCCCUUGAUUUAACCUCUCUUUCUCACACUGACAACUUUUACCACGCGUUCCUCCCGGCCGUCCAUCUAGGUGCUGCUGCAGGGUAUCGAUGCAGUCAUGCGAUACGAGCGCCGACUUUUCUGGAUGGUGUAAAAACCAUAAAAGCCUGACUGAAACCAUGUGCUGCACGACGGGCCCACACGUAGCGCACCCUGUGUAUCGCACUAUUACCAUCUCUGCGGAAUUGAAUUUGUGAGCUGCAGGUUCGACCAGAGAUGUCGAUAAGCAUCGACAGACAGGUAGGCAGCAGUUCGUUGUAUUGAAUCCUCUGCCGCACCGCGACGCCAGCAUGGUCCUCUCCUCAGUCAGUCAUGGAGCGCUGAACCGCUGACACAUGGCCGAGUGGCCGACGUCGCAGGCCCGUCUGAUCGGAACCGGACGGCGCAGAUCACCCGGCCGGUGUUACGUACGUACGGCGCCCUGGACGAACGGCCGUUCUAUCUAGGUCGCCGAGCCUUGACCGUGCUGUCACCGGCCGAUAAUAACAACCGCAGGCGGGCCGGCCGGCGAGUGGGCCCCGUCUGACUCACGACAUUGAAUGGAUAUGUGAGCAGUUGAGAGCUCGUCGUUGGAGCUGUCAGCCGGAGACAAACACGGAGCGUUAGGGCAACUCCAACGAGGUUCACUGAGGAUGGCAUCAAAAUGUCCACGAACACGCAGAACAUGUCUCUGGAGAGCGAAGGACGUUCAUCUAAUCGGAUGCAUCAGAUCAAAUACAGUAGAAAACACACGUUGAAUUUCAUUAAUAUUUGAUUUUUUAAAUAUUAUAGAUCACACUCAAGUUCGCCGGGCGUGGGACCUGUGCCCACGUCCUACUUUGUCAGAGUAAAUGACCACGGGUAGCCUCAUCUACUCUCAUGGUAUUUCGAGACAUCGGAGCCAGCUGCGCCCCUCAAGCCUUAAAGACGAAGAGCCGCCUUCUUUGGGCCGGCUGGUCCGAGCGGCCGGCUGCUAGAAGGCGGCAGAGCCCAGAGGGCGGCCGUGAGGUGGACUGACUCCUAGCAGGCGGCCUCCAGGGAGGCCGGCUCCUAUCAGGCGGCCCCCGCUCCCUCAAAGUUAGCACCUCAUUACAACGACGAGACGGGGCAUGGCUACAGAGCAGCCUGCCACCCCCGAAUCCAGUGCAGAACGUGGCCACAGUGCAGCGUACUGGGCGGACAUCCCUUGCCCAGCGCGGCACUAUUGCCAUGCAGCCCCUGACAUCACCCACGGCAGAGGAGGCCCUGCCCCCACUACGGGCUGUCGGUACGGCCUGCAGGCGGCGACCCCCACCUGUCCGUGAGAAGCCAGAAGGCGGCGAGCCCUGACCAGUCGGCACGGGGCAGGCCGACUCCUGGCAGGCGGCCCUCCCCCUCCCUCAAAGUCUGUGCGCCAUUAAUCAGAAGAGACGGAGAGUGGCUACAGUGAACGCCCGCCAGGCGGCGGACUGUGGCCACGCCCUCCCCGACAAAGCACACAUCAUCAGUGGCGCUGCCACAGUACUAAGUAGCCGGCAGGACCCGCAAGCGGCGGGCGCGGCAGCCGGCCCGGGGAUUCGGCAGGCGGCAUGGGGACUGCUGCAGUCGCACUCGGCCCGGGGACUUCGCAACCUGGUCCGGGCGUAGCAGCAGCCAGCCUGAGGACCUCACCAAGCGGCUCGGGGACUGCGGCAGUCGCACCCGGCCCGGGGACUUCACAACCCAACCCGAGGGCUGCAGCAGUCGGCCCAGGGACUCAAUCAACGCAGCAAGCGGUGGCUGACUCCAACCCGCCGCCUCCCAACCCAACCGCCCUAGUACAAGUGGCCGUGAUGAUAGUACAUGAAGUCGAAGCACCAUCAUGGGCGCAGCCCAUCCUCAAUUUCCUGGUGAACAGAGAGCUGCCGGCUGAUGAGAUCUCGGCCUGGCAAGUGCAACGACAAGCAGGAGCCUACACGAUAGUAAACAGAGAGCUUGUCAGACGCAGCAUGACUGGAGUCUUCCAGCGCUGCGUAGAACCAGAGAAGGGCCAAGCAAUCCUCAAAGACAUCCACCAAGGUGAGUGCGGCCACCACGCGGCAUCCAGGUCCCUUGUCGCCAAAGCUUUCCUCCAUGGUUUCUUCUGGCCGACUGCUUUGGAGGACGCCAAGGAUUUGGUCAAGCAUUGCAAGGGGUGCCAGAAAUUCAGCUCCAAGCAACAUCUGCCGGCUUCUGCACUCAAGACCAUCCCCCUCACUUGGCCCUUUGCCGUGUGGGGGCUGGACAUGGUGGGACCAUUCAAGACAGCACGCGGCGGCAUGACCCAUCUGCUUGUCGCCAUAGACAAAUUCACCAAGUGGAUUGAAGCAAAGCCAAUCAAGAAACUGAAUGGUCCGACUGCUGUGACCUUCAUCGCAGAUAUCACUGUCCGAUACGGUGUACCACACAACAUCAUCACCGACAAUGGCACAAAACUUUGCCGAAGGCGCCUUGGCCUGUUUCUGCGUGACGCAGGGCAUCAAACUAGACUUAGCGUCCGUUGCCCAUCCGCAGUCAAACGGCCAGGUCGACCCAGCAAACGGCCUUAUCUUGUCCGGCAUCAAGCCCCGACUGGUCGAGCCACUAGAGCGCUCGGCCGGCUGCUGGAUCGACGAGCUGCCAGCCGUCCUCUGGAGCCUCCGCACCACUCCGAACAAGUCAACCGGCUUCACUCCAUUCUUUCUCAUGUACGGGGCCGAGGUCGUCAUCCCAACUGACAUUGAGUUCGACUCACCUCGCGCACAAUGUACACGGAAGCGGAGGCAAAUGAAGCACGAGAAGACGUCGUUGAUCUGCUGGAAGAGGGCCGGCUGUUGGCACUCAGCCGGUCCGCCAUCUACCAGCAUAGCCUGCGCCGCUACCACAGUCAGAAGGUCAAGCCAAGAUCCUUCCAAGAGGGAGACCUUGUGCUCCGGCUGAUCCAGCGAACAGCCAGCCAGCACAAGCUCUCGGCCCCUUGGGAAGGCCCCUUCAUCAUCAGCAAAGCUUUGGGCAAUGACUCCUACUACCUCAUCGACGCACAGAAGCCCAGAGCACGCAAGAAAGACGACUCCGGCAAGGAAUCGGAGCGCCCAUGGAAUGCAAAUCUCCUCCGAAGAUUUUACAGUUAAUGAAGUAUGUAUCAUGGUACCUUCUGUUUUAAGCGCUAAGACAUCGGGUCCCUCGAGGAGAACUCAGGGGCUACCCUUUUUUAUCUAUAUGAUAAGUUCUAUACCUAUGAAUAUGUCAUUUUGUUAUUCUGCCUGGCACCGAGUUUCGACCAGUCGGCCCGGGGGCUUGUCGCCUUGUACUAUGUCGGUGCUACCUGCAGUCGAACAAGUAGUGUGCCAGCAUCUAAGCCCUCUCUUGCCAUAAGCCGCAGCUCGCAGAGCGGCUGUCCGGCUGGCAACAGUUAAAGGUAGGAAAUGGUGCCCACAUGAAAAAUGGCUAAGGACAAAAGCAUUCACAUAGGCCAAGCCGGUUCCUCGCCUCACCGACCGACUGCUGAGAAGCCGACCGGCUGGCUUCCUACUUAACUUGCUACGUUCUAAACGACCAAAGUACUUGUCUUCCCAAAACGGCUAAGUACUUGACCCAGCCACGGACCGCAGAGUGGCCGUCUGGCUGGCAAGGCGGCAACCAAGGGAAGGCGGCAAAGGAAAAAAGCCAAAAGAACGGAAAAGCUAGACAAGUCAGAACUGGGCAAAGCACAACUCGUGAGAGAAUUAAUUUACAUAGCAAAAGGCCCUCGGCCAGCAUUCAACAAAGUUUGAAUACACCCCCAGCGGGUGGAACUGCGAAAUUUAACAAGUUUGUUCGAGAGACUACAAAAGCAGGAAAAGAUAAGAUAAAAUUGGCCGACUAGGCCAAAGGAGCAGUAGGCGGGUCCGGCAGGCUGGUGGAGUCGGCGGCGCCGGCUGGCGGAGUGGCCGCCUGAUGAGUCUCGGCUUGGUCAGCGUCGGUGAUAGUCAGCGCGGUCACGCGCGGCUCAUUGCUCGAGGCUCGGUCGAGCUGAGGCUGGCCGUCCGCUCCGUCAUCCGGUGUGUCAUCUUCACCAUCCUCGCCUUCCUCGUCCUCACCCUCAUCGCUGGAGGCAAUAUCCUCCGCUGAGUCCUCGCCGUCUUCCAGGUUCAGCCCGAACCAGUUGAGCGGCACCUCGGUACCCUCCUCGUCCAGCUCGGGGAGGAAGACACCAGUAUCAGUGUACUCGGCGAUCGCUGCCGCGCGUUGAGAGAGCGCAGGCCCCACCGCUACCAACUCUUCGCUGGCUUCCUGCCGAAACGUGGCCAACUGGGCUAGGUUUAGCCCAGGAUACCACGCCUUGACGAACUCCAAGGCCCGCCGUGCGCCUGCCCGGGCUGCGGAGCCUUUCCACGCCUCGAAGCGGCCGAUAGCCACCUCUAACCAGUCGGCGGUCCGACUGGGGGUGCACGGAGCUUGAACGCCUGGCCAGAGGGCGGAAACCACCUAGGCCCUGACGCGCUGCAGACGGCGGAACGCCCGAUGAGCCGGCUGGAGACGAGCUUGAACAGCGAGAAGCUGCUCGCCGAGGGCCCGAGGGGCGUUGGGCGCGAUUUCUGCACCAGCCUGUCUUCGCUCGUCGCGGCGAGCCUCGAUGGCUUGGCUGACGGCAACGGCGUGUGUCAGAUUACGGGUUCCGGCAAACCCUUGAGGUUCGAACACUGGGGUGCGCACGAAGAUCUCUCUCUCCCAAGCUCGCUCUCACAAAGAUCUCAAGGCCUAACUCGACGAACCCAAGGAACAAGAGACAUGAGGGUUUAUACUGGUUCGGGCCACCGUUGUGGUGUAAUACCCUACUCCAGUGUGGCAUGGUGGAUUGCCUUGCAGGCUAAGGAUGAACAAGUACAAGGGACGAACAGCCUCCUGAGGAGAGGUGUUCUUGAGCUCGGCGAGCUGCUGUGUGUGAGGAUGGUCCGAAUGACCUGUCCUCUGCUAGGGUGGUGGCUAGUCCUAUUUAUAGAGGCCCGGGUCCUCUUCCCAAAUGUGUAGGCGGGAAGGGAUCCCACAACAGCCAAGUUUGAAGGGGGACAACUAGUACAAGCUAUCCUGACAAAAGGUGGUCUUCGCCUGCCAAAGGCUCUGGUGGUGACACCGCCAUGGGCUCUGCGAUGACCUCCUUCCCGCCGUCCUGCUGGUCUUGGUCUCGUUGCACCGAUAUGGAAACCUUUGCCUGACAUCUCGGGACUCCUCGCCUGCGCCCGCCCCUUUAGCACCAAAGAGGCAACUGGUGCCCUGCGCCCGCUGGCGCCUGCCUGGCCUUGGUCAUCAUGGCUUACGUCAUGCGCACCUCGCGAGGUGCCCCUUGCCUUGAUAUCUCCGCUCCUUGGGAGCCAGCCUAGUGAGGCUGCCACUUAGGAGGUCUUGUGUGGUCCGCCUCGCGAGGCUUGGCCCCUCGCGAGGGCCUCGAGUGGUUGCUGAUGAAGAUGGGCCAUACCAGGCCGUUGGCGGAGCCACGCCCUGGGCCGCAGGCAGGCAAGUCUGGGUACCCCCAUUCCCAGGACGCCGAUAGUAGCCCCCAGGCCCAAGGCACGCUCGGACUUGGCUCCGAGGCAAAGCCAAAGGGCAAGUGUGAAGCGCCGCGGGCCCCAAUAGCCUGCGGCCUUGAUUACGCAUGGCAACCGACGAGACGUGGGCGUCUCCACUUCCCCACGCUGCCUCGGCAACUGCCCGACUUGACGAGUCCCUGCUGCAUGCAGAAAAACCAUCAUUACCUGCGAUCAUGGAGGCCAGCGGUUGUCCUCCUUCUGGCUAUAAAUGAGGAGGGGGCUGGAGCCCCCGCUGCUCAUCUCUUCCUCCAUUCCGCUUGCUUCUCCUUCCUCCUCGCCCCACCGUCUUGCUGCAACACCCAUGCCGCCGACCAAGAGACUCUCGACUGCUGAGAAGUGGAAGGCUCGCCAAGAGGGGCCCGGCUCGCUGCCGCCUAAGAGGGGGCGUGGUCGCCCCUGCAAGCACGCCGCCACCCCCGCUGUGCCUCCUCGUGGGCACGGACGGACCUCCCCCGGGUCCGGCGCCACCCCUGGCAGCCGCGGCGGCGUCUCUUCGCGCGGCGGAAGCCACCCGAGGCAUGGCAGUCCUACCCACGAGGGGAGGCGCGCCAUGGUUGCCCAGCCUCCUCGGCCGCGCUUCCACUCGACGGAGGUGCUGCCGGCGUUCGUCGUGUGGUCGGAGAACCCAACCGGCACUUGGCUUCAGCUUCCGUGCUCCUUCGCCGGCGAACUGCCGGCCACGGGUCCUGGCGGCCUCUGACUGCAAGUCGACGGCUGCUGCAUCAAAGCUUCGUGGGUCGCGGUGGAGGUUUCUAUCGCGGGCAACAUAGCUCUGGCCCGCGGCUGGCAGACGUUUGCCCACGCGCGCGGUCUGGGUAGGCGGUGCACCCUCCACUUCUAGUACGACGGCAGCGCGACCCUCUUCGUGAGGGUGUUCGGGGAAGACGGUCGUCGCGCCGGGUGCUGCCCUGAAGACAACGAUGGCGACGGCCGUGACGAGGACGAGGGUGAAUUCUCCCUUGGCGACGGUCGCGGUUUGUCCGGCUACGAUAGCUCCUCCUCCGGCGAGAGUUCCAGCAACGGUGGCUACGACCAACCGCCACGCCGUCGGGCCUGCUUCGAGCACGUUGGCGGGUCGUCCCAUCGCCGGGCCCCGGUGAAGCACGAGGAGGGCUCCGGCUGAGUCCGAGGAGCUGACCCUCGUGAGAAGCCGUGUCGUAGGAGCCGCCUUUGCUUGUCCCUUCCUUUCCUUCCCUCCUGUAUCGCAAAAACAAGAUUGGGGCCCUGCGAGGGCGUGUAAUGAACCGCAAUGCUUAUGCUACUUUGUGCCGUGUUUAUUAUUUCCGGGUUGUGCUGUGGAACCGGUGUCUUAAGCAGGCGUAGAUGGGUUACUUAGCUGAGUACAUCCGGGGUAGCUUCCACCUCGUGAGGGUGCGCGCCUUCGGGCGUCUGGUGGGGCUUCCCUACCUCCGACUAGGGCGACACCGUGAAGCUGCAAAAGAUUCGUUAGGAAAUUUGUAUCCCUCCUUGCGUGAGGCCUCAAGCAUGGCCUGAUCAUGGCCUAGCGCACCACGUCGCGGUACCCGUGGGGCAUGGACUUAAAAAAGGGGGUGCGCCGAUCACAAGCUCAGACGAGGGCACCCCACGGAGACUAGGGGAGUGCGCACGCACGCACAGUCAUCCUGUAGCCCCCGCGCGGGGCGUGCGAGGGAGAACAUCAGGCAACUGCCGCCCUCCCUGGCGCAAAACAAAGAAACGAGGGAAGAAUCAGAGAGAAGAGGGGGUUCAACCAAGUCAUCCAUAAACGCCAGAACUUCAAAUUCCAUUAAAAUAGGGGGGGGGCAAACCAACUACAGAAAGCAAAUGAACAGCUGCGUCAGGCACCUAGUCUACUCUUCUCACCAGCGCGGAGCUAAGUGCUGCCACUAGGACGUGGGAGGGAGCCCCCGAGGCCCGAGGGCGGCACUCCGGAGACUCCGGGGCGUGUACAGCCCCACUCAUUAUUAGGUGAGAGUGUCACGAGCGGAGACCUUCACAGGCACUGGCCUUGCUUCAUGGGUAGAACUUCCGGAGGUGCUGGAUGUUCCAGGCGUUCUGGAUGGGGAUCCCGUCCUGCGUCUACAGGCGCCAGCGCCAGGCCUGGAGACACGGGCAAUCCUAAACGGGCCCUCCCACAUGGGUGAGAGCUUAUGCAGCCCUUCCCUGGAGAGCACCCGCCUCAGGACGAGAUCGCCUACCUCCCAGGACGCUGCGACAGUGGUACCGUCGCAGCACCUGCUGGUACCUUGCCGCUCAUAGCGAGGCUUCACGGCGGCGUUCCUCCCCCAGCACAAGGUCCACCCCCUGCAUGGCAUCCUGAUGCGUCUCAUCAAACGCCAGGACCCGCGCGGAGCGAUGCCUGACCUCGUGAGGGAGAACCGCUUCUGCUCCAUAGACGAGGAAGAACGGGGUCUCGCCUGUUGGCUUGGUGGCGGUGGUGCGGAUGGACCACAGCACGGACUGGAGCUCAUCGUGCCAGCCCCUGCCGCAGGCCUCGAGCUUCUUCUUGAAGGUCCUGGUCUUGAGGCCUCUUAAGACCUCGACAUUGGCGCGCUCGGCUUGGCCAUUGCUCCUGGGGUGCACCACCGAGGCGUAGCAAAUAUGCGUUCCGAGGUUAGCACAAUAUGUCUUGAAGAGAUUGCUAGUGAACUGCGAGCUGUUGUCGGUGAUGAUGCGAUUAGGGACCCCAAACCGGCUCACAAGACCCUUGACGAACUUGACCGCGGACCCGGCUGGAAUGGUGCGGACAGCUUCCACCUUUGCCCAUUUGGUGAACUUGUCGAUGGCGACGUAGAGAUAGCGGUAGCCCCCGAGCGCUUGAGGGAACGGACCCAGGAUAUCCAACCCCCAGACCGCGAACGGCCACGAGAGUGGGAUAGUCUGGAGGCCUUGGGCCAGCUGGCGGACUUGCUUGGCAUGGAACUGGUAGGCCUUGCAAGACCUUACCAGCUCGGCUGCGUCAUUGAGUGCCGUGGGCUAGUAGAACCCGCUACGGAACGCCUUGCCAACCAGAGUGCGUGACGACGAGUGAUGCCCGAAGUCUCCGCCGUGUAUGUCAGCUAGCAGCUCACUCCCCUGCUCCCUGGAGAUGCAUCACAAGGAAACGUCAUUUGGUCGUUUUCUGUAUAGCUCACUGUCUUGGAUGCAGUAUGCCGUAGCCUGUCAGGCCACGUGCUCCGCGUCCUCCUCUUUCUCUGGCAGCGUCCCUUGCACCAGGUAUGCCUUGAACUCCUUGGUCCAGCACUCCUCCCGAGGCUCGAGCGCCAGGAGCAGGCGUGCUCCUGAGGUCAGGCCGCAGGCUGGGGCUCCCGAGGCUGGUGGCUGGGGGAGUUCCUCCUGAGGCGAUGCCGGCUCCGCAGACGUGGUUGCUACCGACGGCUUGAAGAGUCGUUCCUCAAAGACGCCGGGCUCCUGAGGCACGCGCCUGGACGCCCUUUUGGUGACGUCGUCGGCAUCCUUGUUCGUGCCGCGAGGCACAUGCUGUAGCUCCAAGACCAAGAACUGCUUCUCCAUUUUGUGCACCUCUGCAAGGUAUGCCUCCAUGUGCUCGUCCCUCGUCUCGUACACCUUGUUGGAGAAGUUGACGAGGAGCUGUGAGUCGCCCUUGAUGGUGAGACGCUUCACCCCAAGGCCGCUGCGGCCUUGAGGCCGGCAAUCAACCCCUCCUACUCCAUGAUGUUGUUGGAGACCUUCUCACCCCGCUGGAAGCAGAGCUGCACGGCGUAGUAUAGCUUGUCUUGGGUGGGGGAGAUGAGCACGGCGCCGGCCCCCGCACCUUGGCGCGCGAAAGCGUCGUCGAAGUACAUGAUCCAACCAUCUGGCGCUUCACUUCCUGGCGAGAGGGAUCGGCUUUCGCCUGCUUCGGGCUCCGGAGCGUCGGUCCAUUCUGCCAUGAAGUCGGGGAGCGCAGCUCCCUUGAUGACCCUGGUUGUGCUGAACUCCAGUUGAAACACUUGCAAUUCGAUGUUCCACUCGGCGACUCUUCCCGCAGCGUUAGGGCUCUGGAGUACCCUCUACAGUGGGUAGGCCGAGACGACCUUGAUUGGGUGGCCUUGGAAGUAAUGACGCAGCUUGCGCGAGGCCACUAGAAGCGCGAGCAAGCCCUUGCAUCCCGUAACACCGUGCUGACGAAGUACACCGGGUGCUCGACGAGGGCGGGAGCAUCGAUGGAGCCUGCGGCUUCCGGAGGUUGUGACGCCUCCUGAGGUGUGGGAACCUCAGGAGCUUGGUCACCCAUCGGGGCCUCCGCAGGCCCAGGAACGCCAUCUUGCAGGGCCUGAUCAUCUGCGGGCAUCGCUGUGGCUUUAGCUGCGCCGCCUUGGUGCCGCGGCGUCCCAGCUGAAGGUUUGGCAUUACACGGCGCGCUCUUGGCCUGGCGCUCCUCUCGGACGGCCACCAACACCGCGCUGGCUGAGUGGGGCGUGGCAGCCAGGUAGAGCACCAGGGGCUCGAGGGGACGAGGCGCUACCAUCACCGGAGGUCAGUCAAGUAUCUCUUGAGGUCUUGAAAUGCCAGGUCGGCCUCUAGGGUCCAUUCGAAUGGGCCCUUCUUCUUCAUCAGCCUAAAGAAUGGCAGGGCGCGCUCCCCCAACUUGGAGAUGAAGCGCCCCAGCGAGGUCACGCAGCCUACUAGCUUCUGCAUCUCCUUGAGGGGUUGCGGCGGGCUCAUGUAUUCUAUUGCUUUAACCUUCUCCGGAUUGGCCUUGAUCCCCCUAUGUGACACGAGGAAGCCCAACAGCUUGCCAGGGGGGACACCAAACACGCACUUCUCCGGGCUGAGCCACAGGUCCACCUGGCGCAAGCUAGUGAAGGUCUCCUCCAGGUCCUGGAUGAGGGUUCUUGCCUCCCGAGAUUUUACCACGAUGUCGUCGAUGUAGGCUUCUGCAUUCCUCUCUAGCUGCCGGCCCAGGGCGAUGUGCAUCAGCCACUGGAAGGUUGCUCCAGCGUUGCGUAGCCCAAACGGCAUGCAGGUGUAGCAGUAUACCACACACAGGGUCAAGAAGGCCGUCUUCUCCACGUCCUCCACUGCCAGUUUGAUCUGGUGGUAGCCCGAGAACACGUCCAGGAAACACAGCAGGUCACAUUCGGGGGUGGAGUCGACGAUCUGGUCAAUGCGCGGGAGUGGGAACAAGUCUUGGGGGCAGGCUUUGUUGAGGUUGGUGAGGUCGACACACAUGCGUUCCUUCCCGCCUUUCUUGGGCACAACGAUGGGGUUCGCCAGCCAUUCCGGGUACCGGACCUCGCGAAUGACACCUGCUGCUUCCAGCUUGUGAGUUUCCUGGACGAUGCUUCUCCGUGGACUGUUGCCGCGCCUUCUGCUUCACAGGGCACACCCUUAAGUGAUGCUCGAUUACCCCCUUGGGACUCCUACCAGCUGCUUGGGCUCCCAGGCAAAUACCUCCUUGUUCGCGUGUAGGAAUUUCACUAAUGCCUCCUCUUGGUCCGGGUUGAGGUUGGCGCCUAUGGUGAAGGUGGCUCCCGAGGAUCCAUCCUCCUCGACCGGCACUUGCUUCGUUUCGGCCCGAUCCUGAGUGAACAACUGCUUCUUUUUCGCCGGCGCAGCCCCCUUGGCCCCUGGGGCGGCAUCGUCGGCCGGGCGCGCCGCCGCGGCGGUCCUGAAGGCGAGCUUUAGGGCCGUUAGAGCCUCCUUGGUGUCUCCAGCCACGGUGAGGACGCCGCUGCUGCCCGGCAUCUUCAUGAGGUUGUAGGCCGAAUGGGUCGCUGCCAUGAACUGAGCCGGGGCAGGGUACCCGAGGAUGGCGUUGUACGGGAGGCCGAUGCGGGCGAUGUCGAAGUUGAUCAGCUCGGUGCGGUAGUUGUCCCGGGUACCGAAGGUGACCGGGAGGCGUAUUUGCCCCAGGGGGCUGGUGGAUCCGCCGCCGACUCCGGAGAAAGGCUUGGUGGGGCGGAGCCGACCGUACGGCAUGUGAAGCAAGCCGAAAGCUUCCACGGAGAGCACGUUGAGGCCUGCUCCGCCGUCGAUGAGGGUCUUGGUCACGGCAACGUUGCAGAUGGUGGGUGUGCAGAGCAUUGAGAGCGCGCCUGAGCCAGCAGUGGUAGCAGGGUAGUCCCCUGUGUCGAAGGUGAGGUCGGCCUUGGGUGCUGCCCAUCCUGGGGGGCUCCCCGCUGCACAGAGGCGGCGCCAAUCUGGCGGAAGAACUGCUUGACGUAAUGGUCAGAGGGUGCUGCUUGCGACCCGCCGAGGAGGUCCGCGAAGGUGACAAGCGCCGGCGCCGCGAAGCGUGCGACGAAAAAGCCGCGCAGCUCCUCCCAAGAAGCCACGGAGGAUCCUGGCAGGUUGAGCAGCCACGCGUGCGGCGCGCCAGCGAGGGCCAUGGGGAACCAAUUGGUCGUGACCUUGUCGUCGCCUCCGGCCUCCAGGACGGCCUCCUCAUAUGGCAAUAGGAAGGUCGACGGAUCUGCCUUGCCAUCAUAGAGGGGUGGCAUAUCCGGCCUUAACUUGUGUGCCACUACACCCGCCGUAGGGGAGCGGGUGCCCGUCGGUCCGGUCAGGAGAGCGGCGCCAGCCAUGGGGGCCAAACGGAGAGGCGAGGCCGGCGGGAGAGCGAAGCUUCGGCGCACCCCUACCUGCCGUGCCAAAUGUCGGAUUACGGGUUCCAGCAAACCCUUGAGGUUCGAACACUGGGGUGCGCACAAAGAUCUCUCUCUCCCAAGCUCGCUCUGGCAAUGAUCUGAAGGCCUAACUUGAUGAACCCAACUAACAAGAGACACGAGGGUUUAUACUGGUUCGGGACAUCGCCGUGGUGUAAUACCCUACGCCAGUGUGGCGUGGUGGAUUGCCUUGCAGGCCGAGGAUGAACAAGUACAAGGGACGAACAGCCUCCUGAGGAGAGGUGUUCUUGAGGUCGGCGAGCUGGUGUGUGUGAGGAUGGUCAGAAUGAUCCGUCCUCUGCUAGGGUGGUGGCUAGUCCUAUUUAUAGAGGCCCGGGGUCCUCUUCCCAAAUGUGUAGGCGGGAAGGGAUCCCAGAACGACCAAGUUUGAAGGGGGACAACUAGUACAAGCUAUCCUGACAAAAGGUGGUCUUCGCCUGCCGAAGGCUCUGGUGGUGAUGCCGUCGAGGGCUCCGCGGUGACCUCCAUCCCGCCGUCCUGCUGGUCUUGGUCUCGUUGCACUGAUAUGGAAACCUUUGCCUGACAUCUCGGGACUCCUCGCCUGCGCCUGCCUCUUUAGCACCAAAGAGGCAACUGGUACCCUGCGCCCGCUGGUGCCUGCCUGGCCUUGGUCGUCAUGGCUCAUGUCACGCACACCUUGCGAGGUGCCCCUUGCCUUGAUAUCUCUGUAAGUGUCAAAACCGACGGAUCUCGGGUAGGGAGUCCUGAACUGUGUCUCUGAGGUCGAUGGUAAUAGGAGACGGGGGACACAAUGUUUACCUAGGUUUAGGCCCUCUCGAUGGAGGUAAUACCCUACUUCCUGCUUGAUUGAUCUUGAUGAAUAUGAGGAUUACAAGAGUUGAUCUACCACGAGAUCGUAAUGGCUAAACCCUAGAUGUCUAGCCUGUAUGAUUAUGAUUGCCUCUACGGACUAAACCCUCUGGUUUAUAUAGACACCGGAGGGGAGUAGGGUUGUACAAAGUUGGUUACAGAGAAAGGAAUCUUCAUAUCCGAACGCCAAGCUUGCCAUCCACGCAAAGGAGAGUCCUAUCCGGACACGGGAGAGAGUCUUCUGUCUUGUAUCUUCACGGCCCAUCAAUCCGGCCCAUGUCACAUAGGCUGAACGCCCGAGGACCCCUUAAUCCAGGAAUCCCUCAGUACCCCCUGAACCAGGCUUCAAUGACGAUGUGUCCGGCGCGCAGAUUGUCUUCGGCAUUGCAAGGCGGGUUCCUCCUCCGAAUACUCCAAAGCAGCUCUCGAACACAGAGAACGUGUCUGGCUCUGUAAAACAAACACCGCACAUAUCCGCAGAGAGUAUAAUAUUUUCACGAGUCCAAUCUACUGACAACUUUCGUAGCGUGACAUCACGUUGCCGCCCAGUCAUUAUUUCGAACCAUUUUUAGCCUCCCGCUCCAUGUUUCAAGAUACUGUUCUAUCGGCACGUCUUGUCGAAGCAGAGAUCGUGUCCCCUUAUUACGGGAUUUUCAUCAAUACGGGCAUGGGUAAUCCAACUGCCCCGUUGGCAUGAUUCCUUGGGAAUAGGCAAGUUUCAAGGCUUACGAGGAGGCGUUCGAUAUUCAUCGCCUUUAUAAAGGGGCACAGACCCGUCUUUUUCUUCCUCAACUUUCCCAACCCUGAGCUCUAGCACCCAGGUUUCAACUUAAUCGAUCCAAGCCUCCCAGUCAUGUCCGGACCCAGCCUCCAAGGCCGGUGGGUGGCCUCCUCUGUCACAGAGGAGGAUAUCGCGAAGCUCCGGGCGGCAAGGUACCUGACCGCGGAAAUCCUCCACAGGCUUCCUGCUAAGGGGCAGGUUAUUCCUACACCUAGAUCCGGCGAAAGGGUCGUAUUCAUCUCCCACUUCCUUCGGGGGCUAGGGUUCGCUCUUCACCCCUUCGUUCGUGGCCUCAUGUUUUAUUAUGGGCUAGAUUUUUGUGAUCUAGCUCCGGACUCCUUUCUUCACAUCUCGGCGUUCAUCGUCAUGUGCGAGGACUUUCUCCGCAUUCCCCCACACUUCGGCUUAUGGCUCAAGACCUUUAAUGUGAAACCAAAGGUAGUCGACGGGGAGCAAGCUGAGUGUGGCGGUGCUAUGGUGAGCAAGCUCGCCAAUGCUCCUUGGCCAAAGGGCUCCUUCACAGAAACUUCCAACCUAUGGCAGCGGGAGUGGUUUUCCAUCACUGAACCCCGCGGUACCAAGUGGGCAGCUACACCUGCGUUCCGAACUGGCCCUCCGUUACGACUCGCAUCAUGGAUUUAAAAGGGGCUUGACUGGGGACCAAUUGAUGAAGUGCAGACGCUACAAAGCCGUAUCCGGAGUCUCCUUGAAAAGGACACCAGCCUCAUCAACGUGAUCCAGCUAAUGCUAGUCCGCCGGGUCCUACCGUGCCAGUGACGACCUCUCCGCCUGUGGGAGUUCAAUCUGGAAGGACCACGGACCCUUCAGCACUUCUUCGGCACAACGCACAGAGGGAUGUGGAAGUUAUUCUUCGGGACCCGAAAAUAGUGGCCGGAUACAACCGAGGACAUCGGCCUCGACUGCAGCCAUCUGGAUACCUCGGUAAGCACUCGACUCCUGAACACAGCUUAGUUAAUUAUCCCUCAGCAACAUACUGAGAAACCUGUCUCCGAUCAGGGCUGGAUAAAGAAGGCGGAACGAAUUAGGUGUUCGGCUCCACUCCCCGAAGACUCAACUGAUCCUGUGUUGACAAGGAUGCUGCCCGGCACCGUAUCAAGUGCCGGUGAAGGAGGUCAAGGAGGAGGGCAGAAAGGCCAAAGGUGGCCUCCACUCGAAAGAUACACCGGACGCUAUGUCCGGGGAGACUGGAACUCCCUCUUCUGAAGACGAAGGGGAAGAAGAAGCUGAUAUCUCUUCUCCCAAUGGGAAGAAAAGGACUACCUCCAGAGAUCUGAAGGUGGAGGAUCCCAAGAGAGGGAAGGCGUCCCUGUCAGCCGGUUCGGAAGACGAUGCUGCACAGUUUCCCCAUAAGGACAAGCCCUUAGCCGAAUUGUAAGUGAACAAGGGUGUUUUAGACAUAUCCCGUUCUUUUCAGGUUACAAGGGUAACAUCUUAAAUAUAUGUUUGCAGUCCGACCUGCAGUCUUCCUCAACAGUCCUCCUGCUCGGGUGACCUGCUUCCGGAGAUGAUGGAAAGCGAGACGCCUCCACAUGCUUCCUCGCCCCUUAGGGCGGACGACUUCGAGGUGUCAUCCCGGAGGGUCUCCCCCGAUCACCAAACGACGCGGGGGGUAAUAAAGGCAGCACCCGAAGGUGAGACUUCAGUCGUCAAGGGUCUGGGGAGUGCAGCCCCUACGGUGACUGACAAUAAAGGCCCCGGACUAUCCGGUUUACAGCCGAAAGCGACUCUAGAGUCGAGUAAACAUAUCCCUUCGAAGGGAGUUCAUACUCCUACAGCCGCUUCCAGGAGUCUAGAGGCGCCGGAUACAUUAAUGGGCAUGUUGCAGAAUGUGUCCAUCUCAGAGGAACAUCGUACCUUAAUGGGUAUGGUAGUCGAGAGAAUUCUGUCCGCAAGAAGCGGAUUGAAUGAAGCCUUCACGGGCCUACUAAGAGGCUUUGAGGUAUGCAAUGUAAUAUCUUGACUACUCUUUACAUGCAAAAAGUGCCUGUGUAUAGAUAGUAGCCCCUGAGACUCUGGUUGGCGUCCAAAGGUAGGCGAUCAGAGGAUCAAAAAAGAUAUGCUCAGGAAAUAACAUGAAUAAUUUAAAAAACAGGCUGUUACGUCAAUGACGACUGCCCCCGCCGCGGAAGUUGCAGAUUUAAAGCAAAAUCUUGAGUCAGCGGAUGAGGACAUUACUCUUAUUAACAGGCGGCUCGACGAGGCACAAGGUAUGUUUUGGGGCAGUCAGCUUAUGCAUGUAUAAUAAUAUAAGCACGAAGCUGAGAAUUAUAUACUGGGACAUGCAUAAUUGCAGAUGGUGCUGCUGCGGUUGAGACCCUUCGGGCUGAGCUUGCCCGGGCCAAGGAGCAAGCCAGGGUGAGCAAUGCGGCUGUCAAGAAGGCAGCUGCUGAUUUAAAGGCCGAACAGGCGACUCGGCACCAGUGCGAGGAGAGAAUAUCUACCAUGGCGCGAGAGCUAAAGGAUGCCACUGCCGAAUGCAAAUCACUCGAAAAGGAUAACAAACCCAAGACGGCCAAUCUCGACAAGGCCUUACAAGAGGCGCGAGAGGCACGAUCCGAGUCAAGAGCGGCUCGGGAAGAGAUUUGGCAAGCUGGGGAGAUAGCGGCUGGUAAGCCCUUUCUUUUACAGACUAAAUUCGGCGAUCCGAAGUAUGCCCCGCUGAAUCAAAUGUGGAGUUCUCCAGACUUUUUCUUGGACCUGCCGAAGAGUGUUGCCGAUGCGGCGCAGUUUUACCAAGCGCAAGACGGACGUGGAGUGGAGAAGCUUUUCUGGUCACAGUUCGACGGGCCAAAGCGUCCGCCGUUGCUGAACGAACAAAUGGCCCAGUGGGCCAAGCUCCACAAGGUGUCCGGAGCUGCCAUGGAAGAAGUCAUGGUCUGGCUGUGGCCAACUGAGCCAAUUCCGAACAGUUAUUUUGGUUUGGUGCAACGGCUUGUUGAUGCAGUGCCGCGUAUCGACGCUGUUAAGCGGUCGGCGUGCAUUGAAGGUGCACGGAUGGCCUUUGCCCGCGUCAAGACGUACUGGGCAAAAAUGAAGGCCACCGAUGUUGCAGCAAACAAUCCACCCAAGGGCAAGGACCAUCGCACGCCGGAGCAAUAUUUUGAGGAUGUCCUAGAGGGCGCCCGCUUGAUAGAGGGUCAAUGCUCGAAAUAUAUUAUGUUCGAGUGAAUGUAUCAGUACUGUGAUAACAAUAUUAUGAUAUAUUAAGGUUGUGUUAUAUUUAUGCCUGUUGCCUGAAAGGCAUUUCCUCCUGUGCGGCCGUUUUUUUAUAAUCUGAAAGUUUGCCAGUCGUUGGCUUCAGCCCCCUCGCAUAUAAUGCGGGAGUGUUCGGAAUAGCAACUGACCACGCUUGACCCAACGUGUUGGUCCGUGAAGGAGGUGUCAGUGCGGCGAACUAGGCAAUUGGGCUAUAUGGCUUUAACACCUUCACUUAGCCAUAGAAGUUUGACGAUGGGUCUACAAUAUAGCCCCUUGUAUGUACGCGGUUAUCCGAAUACGGCUGCGCUACAUAGGUGAUCGGAAGAACGGUCCUUCGUGUAAUACGGAAGAAAUCGCAAAAGAUUCUGAUAAGUCAAUGAGUGGUUGACCAGCUCUCGCUGCAUCAUGACAGUCAGUUUUCGGCUUUCUCUACUGAGGUGCUUAACCAGGUGAACCGGAAACACAAUCGCAGUAGUUCUCCCUUUACUACCCUAGCCGAUAGGACGAAACGUAAGGUAGUAAGCACAGGAGCCGGGCAACCCAACUAUUGACCGAAGACAUGAUUCAGAGCUGAUGCAUAUAAGGCCAAACUCGUGACGCCGAAUUAUGCUAUAAAGCUGUUCGGACUUUUCGGCAACACAUAUGUUGCCGUAUCGAGCCCCUGGCGAUUCGAGCCGAGGUGCGUGUGUGAAACAACUGGAGAAGCAAAAUUCAGUUCUCAAAAAAGCAAAUAUUGAAUACAGAUUUAUGUUCACUGGAAUCUGAUUUAUACGUCAAACGCAAUUAUACAGAUUACACCACCCCUACCCAGGCUAUUUGACAUGCCAGGGGUCGAAGGCUGGGGAAAAACGCACUUUAUAGGUUUGAAAUAAAGUGUGCGGUCUACAAAAAAUUAUUUGGACCUCAUGUCGCACGUCUGCGCUGCCUUUGCCUCAGCUAAAAGCUUCCUUAACAGGAAUAGCCGUUGGUUUUUUAUACGAAGCCGAACUCAGAAAGAGUCCUUGUAAGUCCGUAGGAUGAACAGGUUUUGAUUCGCCUGUAGUAAAAGAUAAAAAAUAGUUAGAAAAAACAAGAAGAAGGCUAUAGGAAUGCGAACCGCAUUGUAAGCCUGUCCGUAUUGUGCCUCCGCCGAUGACCAAGGUAUUUUAAGUGCAUAAUGAUGUAUGCGCGAUACAAACUUCGCGAGUAUAUGAGGUGAACGGCGGAGGCCGAACUACUAAUCUAUCUCUAAAAUUGACCGGUCCUGUGUAUUAGAGGCCGGUGGCUUAAUGGCCGAUGAGAUACGCGGCUUAAUGUGGCCGCUUUGUACUUCGGCUGCAAUAGCCGCAGUAUGCUCCUUUGUACGGAGGGAGCGUUCCGUAUUUCUGUCUAUCCUGGUGACACCUCGUGGACCGGGCAUUUUAAGCUUUACAGAAGCGUAAUGUGGGAGCGCAUGAAAGCGAGCAAAAGCAGUCCGUCCGAGCAGUGCAUGAUAGCCACUGCGGAAUGGGACAAUAUCGAAGAUAAAGUCUUCACUUCGAAAGUUGUUCGGCGAACCGAAGACUACUUCCAAUGUAAUUGAGCCCGUGCAGUGGGCUUCUAUGCCAGGUACUACUCCCUUGAAGGUAGUUGUGGUGGGCCUGAUUCUUGAAGGAUCAAUGCCCAUCUUGCUGACAGUGUCUUGGUAGAGUAGAUUAAGGCUACUGCCGCCGUCCAUAAGGACUCUCGUGAGAUGGAACCCGUCGAUAAUUGGGUCGAGGACCAGAGCUGCCGGACCUCCGUGACAGAUACUGGUUGGGUGGUCCCUACGAUCAAAAGUGAUCGGGCAGGCCGCCCAUGGGUUAAAUUUUGGGGCGACCGGCUCUAUAGCAUAGUCGUCCCAUAGUGCAUGCUGGCGCUCCCUUUUAGGGAUCUGUGUCACAUAUAUCAUGUUUACUGUUUUUACUUUGGGGGGAAAUUGCUUUUGACCACCGGUGUUUGGCUGGCGAGUCUCCUCGUCUUCACUGUCAUUAGGCGGCCCCUUCCCUUUGUGUUAGGCGUUGAGCUUGCCUACUUGUUUGAAAACCCAACAAUUUCUGUUGGUAUGGUUGGCGGGUUUGUCAGGGCUGCCAUGAAUUUGAUAGGGCCGAUCCAGUAUCUUGUCUAAACUGGAUGGACCAUCUUUGUUUGCCUUGAAUGGCUUCUUCCGUUGACCGGGUUUGGAACCACUGAAUCCGGCGUUGACCGUCGUGUCUUGGGUUCCUACAUUGUUGUUUAGACGCUUGUUUUUAUUGCGUCGAGGCUUUCCAUUGCCGUCCCUGACCUCAGAGGUGCCAGGAUCGCUGGUGCUAUUGUUUCGUCAAGCCAGCCAGCUAUCUUCUCACGCGCAGAAGCGGGUCAUCAGUGCGGUAAGAGCUGCCAUAGAAUUUGGCUUUUCUUGGCUGAGGUGAUGGGCCAGCCAUUCAUCUCGGACGCUAUGUUUACAGGCCGCUAGGGCUUCGGCGUCCAGAUAGUCGACGAUUUGGUUCUUUUUAAUUAAGAACCUAGUCCAGAGCUUCCUUGCUGACUCUCUGGGCUGUUAGAUGAUGUGACUGAGGUCAUCGGCGUCCGGAGGCCGGACAUAUGUACCUUGGAAGUUGUCGCGAAAGGCGUCCUCCAGGUCUUCCCAGUUGCCGAUAGAGUUUCCAGGGAGGCUAUUUAGCCAGUGCCGGGCUGGUCUCUUUAAUUUCAGUGUGAGGUAUUUGAUGGCAUGUAGAUCAUCGCCACGGGCCACGUGGAUAUGGAGAAGGAAGUCUUCAAUCCACAUUGCGGGGUCAGUUGUUCCAUCAUAUGAUUCGAUAUGCAUAGGUUUGAACCCUUCUGGGAAUUCAUGCUCCAUUACUUCAACAGUGAAGUAGAGGGGGUGUGCGGCGCCUCUAUAUCGGGCCAGGUCGCGACGUAGCUCGAAUUGAGUUCGUCUGCGAUUUUCGGCCCGGACGUGAUUAUGCUUGCCACGUCCGGCUAGAUAGCCGUUGUCGCGCGUCGAGGCACGCCCCCGUGAUCUGUAUAUCGAUCUGGUCUGACCUGCUCUACUGUCCAGGCCUUGCCACAGGUCAUAUGCAUGUCCCUGAGCUGUUAUAUCUCUACCUUUACAGCGAGGUAGUAUGGGCUGGUGUUCGGCUUGAGUUGCCGUUUUGUCCCGGCCACGAAGUGGUCGGUCAGCCGCAUUACGUGCCGAUGGCGCGGGCUCGAGGGCCUCAUCGUCAAAUUGGGGUAGCAGCUUAUGCUUCAGGUAACUUUUGGUUGGUCGCUCAAGGCCAUAUUCCUCUGCUGCCAGGACAUUAGUACACCUAUCGUUGAGCAGAUCUUGAUCAGCUUGAAGCUGUUGCUGCUUCUUUCUCAGGCUCCUUGCAGUGGCAAUUAGCCGGCGCUUAAAGCGCUCCUGCUCGAGAGGUUCCUUAGGUACGAUAAAGUCUUCGUCAUCAAGGCUCACCUCGUCCUCGGAGAGUGGGAGGUAAUUACUGUCCUUCGAGUCUUCAUUUACGGCCUGUUCGUCAGGGCUAACUUGCCCAUCUUCCUGGUUGUCCUGUUCGAGACUUGGCUCGACGGGGUUUUCUUUGUCUUCAGCAUCAUCCAGAGUGUUGUUGUCUCUUGUGCCGGUAUUGCUGUCUUUUCCACGAGGUGAUUUAGAGCGGUGCCGCUGACGUCUGCGCUUUGGCUGUGUCCCAGGAGGUUUAUCCUCGACUGGAUCUUCUUUAUCAUCGCCGUUACCAUCUUUGGGUGUGUCCACCAUGUACACGUCAUACGAAGAGGUGGUUGUCGGUGUCAAAACCGGCGGAUCUCGGGUAGGGGGUCCCGAACUGUGCGUCUAGGAUCGAUGGUAACAGGAGACGGGGGACACGGUGUUUACCCAGGUUCGGGCCCUCUCUAUGGAGGUAAUACCCUACUUCCUGCUUGAUUGAUCUUGAUGAAUAUGAGUGUUACAAGAGUUGAUCUACCACGAGAUCGUAAUGGUUAAACCCUAGAAGUCUAGCCUAUGAGUAUAUGGUAAUGAAUCUGUCCUAUCCGGACUAUGCCCUCCGGUUUAUAUAGACACCGGAGAGAUCUAGGGUUACAUGAGGUCGGUUACAUAAGAGGGAAUCUUCAUAACCGAUCGCCUAGCUUGCCUUCCACGCCAAGUAGAGUCCAAUCCGGACACGGGUAUAGUAUUCGGUCUUCAUGUCUUCAUAGCCCAUCAAUCCGGCCCAUGGAUAACAGGCCGGACGCCCGAGGACCCCUUAGUCCAGGACUCCCUCAGUAGUCCUUGAACCUGGCUUCAAUGACGACGAGUCCGGCGCGUAGAUUGUCUUCGGCAUUGCAAGGCGGGUUCCCCUUCUUCCGAACUUCCAAGAUAGUCUUCGGAUGCGAUGAUUAUAUCUGGACCUGUUACACACCAUGCACAACCGCAGAGAGAAUACAUAUAUUCCAUACGAGUUCCAUCCGCUAAUAGCUUUCUGUAUUACGUCCAUUCGGUCAUAAUUUCGAACCGUUUGUCCCAUGUUCAAAGACGCGGUCGCUAUUGGCACGUCUUGUCGAAGCACAGAUCAUGUCCCCUUAUUGCGGGAUUCUCAUCAAUGCGGGCAUGGGUAACCCAACCGUGCCAUUUGCACAGCCUUUGGGAAUAGGCGAAUCUCAAGGCGAGUGAGGAGGCGUCUAAUGUUUGCUGCCUUUAUAAGAGGAUAAGGAUCCCCUCUUCCUCUUCUCACGCUUUCUCUCCAUCUCCGCCUUCCUGAUCUCGAGCUCCAGCGCCCAAGUUCCAAUCUCCUUUCCACCCCAACAACCAUGUCCGGAUCCGGUGGUCAGGGCAAGUGGAUGGUCUCCUCCGUCAAGGAGGAGGAUAUUAGUGAGCUCAGGGCGGCCGGAUAUUUGGCGAAGGGAAUCGCCCACCGCUUGCCGGCCGAGGGACAAAUCGUCCCUACGCCGGAGCCCAACGAGAGGGUAGUAUUCCUCCCUCAUUUCUUCCGCGGGCUGGGGUUUCCACUUCACCCUUUCGUCUGCGGGUUGAUGUAUUAUUACGGGGUAGAUUUCCAUGAUCUAUCCCCGAAUUCCUUCGUCAACAUCUCGGCGAUCAUCGUCGUGUGCGAGGCCUUCCUCCGCAUCCAACCCCACUUUGGGCCGUGGCUCAAAGUCUUCAACGUGAAGCCGAAGGUGGUGGAUGGCCAGCACGCGGAGUGCAGAGGGGCAAUGGUGAGUAAAUUGUCCAACGUCUCCUGGCCGAAAGGCACCAUUGUGGAUACAGUAAAGGAGUGGCAGAAGCAGUGGUUCUAUAUCACAGAACCACGCGGCACCACCUGGGCCGCAGCUGCCGAAUUCCACUCCGGCGCUCCUAUGCGACUCACCUCUUGGGUCGAGAAGAGUCCGGACUGGUGUUCCCCUGACGAGCUGAUAGCGCUUCAGACGCGCGUUCAGAGCAUGGUAACCAAGAGCAUCAAGCUUGUUGAUGUGAUCCAGGUGAUAUUAUUUUGCCAGAUCCUUCCGUGCCAGCACCGAAGCCGCCCGUUGUGGGAGUUCAAUCCGAAGAAGCACCAGACCCUGGUGAGGCUCUUCGAGACUACGCACGAAGGCACAUGGAAAUUGCUCUUCAAGGGCAAUGAGAAACCACCGGCCGCGGAUUCAGACCGUGGUCAUGAUUGUACACACCCUGCCAGCAAGUUAUGUUAUUUCGAAUGAGUCCUCAACCUAAUUGUUUCGAGGAUGAUGUCUGAGUUUUUAUUACUGCUCUUUCAGGACUGGAUGGAGAGGGCGAAGCGGAACCAGUGUCCAGCUCCGCUGCCUGAAGAACCAGUCAUCCCGUGUCUGGCGAAGAUGCUGGUGCCGGCGCCGUAUAAGGCGCCGGAGAAGAAGGCCAAGAAGAAGGCAAAGGGGGCCAAGAGUGGCCUCCGUCGUAAGGGCACUUCGGACGCAGCGUCCGAAGACGACGAAACCCAUUCCUCUGUCCCUGAGGACAAUGACGGGGAAGAGGAAGAGGAAGAAAACAAUCCCCCCCUGAGGAGAGGAAGAAGAAGAGGGCGGCCCCGGCGCAUCUGGAGGCGGAGGCGUCCAAAAAGGGGAAGCGCGCUCCAGUGGCCAACACCGCGUGGGACGUGGACAGUAGUCCGGAACGACGCCCCCGCACAAAGCCUCAGGCCGCAUCGUAAGUGACACGGCUUAUGUAUGCGCACAUCCGACCCUUUCUCUCCAUUAUCUUGAUAUAGUUAGCUGUACUAUUGCAGUCCGGCCCAUGAUCUUAUCCAGCAAUCCUCCUUUGGAGGUUCAUUGGCUUCAUCAGAGAUGGCGAGCAGGUCACCACCGCCUGCUUACUCCCCCGGGGCCGAGGACGACACCGAAGUGCUGUCCCAAAGGACCGCUCCGAAGGGAGGAGCCCAGGACGUUGUUCGGGAGGCGCCACAAGGCGAGGCCUCCACCGCCGAACACGUGGGGGAUCCAAUCCCCAUGGAGACUGGCGAAGAGGGCCGUAUCCAGAUCGGCCCUCAGCCGAAUACGGUACCGGAGCCCCUUAUGGCUCCGGAGUCGGGCGAGCAGCUCCCUUUGAAGGGGGGUGUGCCACCUCCACCGAUGGCUCCUGUCCGUCCAGGAGCGUCGGAUGAUCUGAUGGGGGCACUGCGAAGCACCUCCGUCGUGGACGAGCACCGUGUCCUUAUGGGUGCGGUGAUCGAAAAAGUUCAGUCUGCCAAGAGCGGACUGAAUGAGGCUUGCGGCAGCCUGUUAACAGGUUUUGAGGUAAGUGACAUAGAAAGAGAAAGAAAUCCCAUGUAGUCAGUAGCCCCUGAGAUACUGUCUGGUGCUCGGCAAGAGGAACCGGACAGGGGAUCAAUCCUCUAGUGUAGAGACUCACGUGAUAUGUGUGCAUGAGCAGGCGUCGCUGUUGGCCGCAACCUCACAUGCCGCCGAAGUCUCUGAACUGAAGCAGAGGCUGGAGCGGACCGAGAACGAGCUCAGCGAGGUUACAAUGCGGCUUCGAGAGAAGCAAGGUAGGUAACAUCUUGCUGUGUGUUCGGAAAGAACAAGCGUUGCAUACUGACCAUAAUGUCGAAAUAUGUGCAGGAGCCGUGACCGAGGUGGAGGCCCUGAAAAAGGCUCUGGCCGAAGCCGAGGGGAAGGCCGUCGAGCAGCAAGCCGCUCGAAAAAAGCUCGAGGCCCGAGUCAAGGAGGUCCAACAGGAGCUCCAAGACGCGGUGAAAAAAUGUGAGAUCUUGGAGAAUGAUGCGUCGGCUCAAAAGGCCGAACUCUCCAAGGCUCGUCAGAGCACGGAGACCGCACGGAAUGAGGCCCGGGCCGCCCUCCAGGAGAUCCAGGAAGCUAGGAAGAUCACGGCGGGUAAGGCUUUUAAGAUGCAAAGCAAGUAUGCGGAGAAGCAAUACCAUUUACUAACCCGGGUUCGGAGUUCCCCAGGGGAUUUUGCGGAUUUACCAUGUAGCGUAUCAGACGUUGCAGAGUUCUACCAAGCUGAAGGAGGAUGUUCGACGGAGAAGCUAUUCUGGACGUAGUAUGCGACGCCAGAGCAUCCCGUGUCCUUCACCGAUCAGCUGAAGCAGCUGGUGGAGCUGCACAGGGUGGCCGAACUAGCGAUGAAGGAUUUAACAAUCCGGCUAUGGCCAGCCGAAGCUAUGCCCGGCAGCUACUUAAGACUUGUGAGGCGGCUAGUGGAAUCUUGUCCGCGGCUGGACGUCAUCAAGCGCUCUGUAUGUAUUGAAGGUGCCCGUAUGGCCUUUGCUCGCUGCAAGAUGUGGUGGGCGAAGAUGACCGCUGUUGAAGUGGCCAGCGGGCCGCCAGAGGGCAAGGAGCACCGCACACCCGAAAAGUAUUUUGCGGAUGUCCUAGAAGGGUCUCGACUUGUGGCAGCUCAAUGUUCGAAGGACAUUAUUCUCGAAUGAAUACAUUCAUGUUGUCCUGUGCCUUGUAUUAUAAAGACAAAGCUUUGUUUGGUAAUGUAAUUUCGUUAUGCUUUAAAUUGUUUCCUCCUGUGCGGCCGUGUUAUAUGCAAUCUGAAGGUUGGCCAGUCGUCGGCUUCUGCCCUCACGUAAUUCGUACGAAGGUGUUCGGGAUGGGAUCUAAACAAUCUUGAUCCAAUUUAUAUGGUCCUUGAAGGAGUUGUUUAGCGCAACGAACAAGGCAAUCAGACUAUACGGCUUAAACGCCCUCACUUAGCCAUAGGAGUUUUAUAAUUAAGCAAGUGCGUAGCCCCUGGUCCAAGCCAGGGUGCUGUCCGCAUCUGAUCGGGAAGUGCCGAUCCUUUGCGUGACGCGAAAAAAAAAUCUCCAACGAUUUUGUCACCCUCGAACAGCUGACCGGCUCUCGCCGUAUCAUGACAGUCAGUUUUCAGCUUUCUCUACUGAGGUGCUCAUCCGGUCAAGGCCAGGGCACAAUCAUAGUAGUUCUCCCUUUACUACCCUAGCUGAUAGAGCGGAACGUAGGGUAGCAAGCACAGGAGCCGGGCAACCCAACUAUUGACCAAAGACAUGAUUCGGAGCCAAUGCAUAUAAUGCUAAAUUUCGAGGUGCCGAAAUUUUAUACAAGAAGUGUUCAGACUUUUUUGCCGUGUUGUGGGGCGAUAAGCAGCCCCUGGCGAAUAUGAAACAUACAAAAGAGUACCGAUAUAGCUGAUAAGCAGAUCGAAAUAAAAUAGAGUAAGAAGCGAAAACCACAGAAACUGGGCCGCAAAUCAUUUUUAUUAUAGCUGAAUGGAUACAUCAAGGCGUAUUUUAUACAAAUAGUGCGAUAAGCACCCGGACUAUUUAACAUGUCGGGAUCAAGAAAGGGGCAGCGUGCGGGUCCUGGGAAAUAAGUAAAAAAUACCAUCAAGAAGAACGUAUGGCGGUUACCCUGCGCACCUAUGCUGCAUGCCCCCUUUGUAUGCCGAUCCUUCGAAGGGGCUGGUGAUCAGGCUCGCAGGAAAAGGAACCUGAAACAGAAAGGAAAACUGUGUCCGGGGUAGGUCUAGCCGAACUGUAGAUCCCGGGUUAGCUCGUGCCUCCGUCGAUGUCCAUGGUAUUUCGAGUGCGUAAUUAUCUACGCAUGGUACGAAUGCCACUACUUCAUUGGGGCUGGGACGGAGGCCGAAUUGCUAGUCGAGCUCUUGACGAGCCUUGCUGUCCUACUGCAGUGUAGUUCGGGACUUCUUGACGGUGUCCAGGGGCUCGACAGCCGCACUAUGGUGUUGCUUGAGAAUGCCGCUCUGUACCUCUGCUGCUAGGGCAGCGGUGUGCUCCUCUGUUCGGAGGGAGCGUUCCGUGUUGCCAUUGACUGUUAUGACGCCGCGUGGGCCGGGCAUCUUGAGCUUGAGAUAGGCAUAGUGUGGCACUGCGUUGAAUCUAGCAAACGCUGUUUGUCCGAGCAGUGCGUGGUAGCCGCUGCGGAAUGGGGCGAUGUCGAAGAUUAACUCCUCGCUUCGGAAAUUGUCCGGAGAGCCGAAGACCACUUCCAGUGUGAUUGAGCCCGCACAGCGGGCCUCGACGCCUGGUAUGACUCCUUUAAAGGUAGUCUUUGUUGGCUUGAUUCGUGAGGGUCAAUUCCCAUCUUUUGCACUGUGUCUUGAUAGAGCAGGUUGAGGCUGCUACCACCAUCCAUCAGGACUCAUGUUAGGUGAAACCCGUCGAUAAUUGGGUCUAGGACUAGUGCGGCUGAACCGCUGUGGCGGAUGCUAGUUGGGUGGUCUCGUCGAUCGAGGGUGAUCGGGAAUGACGACCAUGGAUUGAACUUUGGGGCGACUGGCUCUACCGCGUAGACAUCCCUGAGUGCUCGCUUGCGCUCCCUUUUGGGGAUGCGUGUAGCGUAUAUCAUGUUCACCGUUUUGACUUGAGGGGGAAAUUUCUUCUGCCCUCAAGUGUUCGGCUGCCGGGGCUCUUCGUCCUCGUCCUCACUUUGUGAUCCCUUUUCUUUCUUUUCGGAAUUUAACUUGCCAGCCUGCUUGAAAACCCAACAAUCCCUGUUGGUAUGAUUGGCUUGCUUAUCCAGGGUGCUGUGUAUUUGGCAUGGACGGUCGAGUAUGCGGUCUAGGCUGGAAGGUCCUUCAUUGUUUCUUUUGUAGGGAUUCUUUCGUUCCCCGGACUUGGAGCCUCUGAAUCCGGCGUUGACUGUGGUGUCAUCGGUGUUGUUAUCAUUGCUUCGGCGUUUGUGCAUAUUGCGCCGGAGCUUGCCAGUGCUAUUCUUGGUCUCAGAGGGGCCUGACUCGCUGGCUGUGUUGUUACUACAGGCUAGCCAACUGUCUUCUCCCGAGCAAAAGCGGGUCAUGAGUGCCGUGAGGGCUGCCAUAGACUUCGGCUUUUCUUGGCCAAGGUGGCGUGCUAGCCAUUCGUCACGGAUGCUGUGUUUGAAGGCUGCUAAGGCCUCGGCGUCCGGACAGUCAACGAUCUGGUUCUUUUUGGUUAGGAACCUAGUCCAGAAUUUUUUGGCUGAUUCUCCAGGUUGUUGGACUAUGUGGCUUAAGUCAUCGGCGUCUGGUGGCCGGACAUAGGUUCCUUGGAAGUUGUCGAGGAAAGCCUCUUCCAAGUCCUCCCAGCUGCCGAUAGAAUUUUCAGGCAGACUGUUAAGCCAGUGCCGAGCUGGCCCUUUGAGCUUUAGUGGGAGGUAUUUAAUGGCGUGGAGAUCGUCUCCUCGAGCCAUGUGGAUAUGGAGGAUAAAGUCCUCGAUCCAUACUGCUGGAUCGGUUGUGCUGUCGUAUGAUUCCAUAUUGACGGGCUUGAACCCCUCGGGGAAUUCGUGAUCUAGUACUUCAUCCGUGAAGCAGAGAGGGUGUGUGGCGCCUCUAUAUCGGGCCGCGUCAUGGCGUAGUUCUGAUGGAGUCCGUCUGCGGUGUUCGGCCCGGGCGUGGUUAGAUUUAUCACGUCGGAAUAGGUAGCCUUCCUUGUGCCUCGAGGCACGCCCUCGCGAUCCAUAGAUCGAUCUUGUGUGUCCUGUUCUAUCGUCCUGGAUUUGCCGGAGGUCGUAUGUGUGACCCCAAACUCUUCCGUCUCUAUUUUUGCGAGGCGGUGGGGCCGGCUGCUGUUCAGCCCAAGUUGCCGCUUUGUCCCGGCCGCGGGGUGGCCGGUCGGCCGCCCUGUCUCGACCACGCGGUGGUCGCUCCGCAUUAUGCGAGGGAGAUGUGUGUUCCGGUGCCUCCUCAUCAAAGUGAGGUAGCAGUCUGCGUUUCGGGUAGCUCUUGGCUGGGCGCUUGAGGUCGUAUUCUUCCGCUGUCAGGACAUCAGUCCAUCUAUUGACGAGCUGGUCUUGUUCAGCUUGAAGCUGCUGCUGCUUCUUUUUCAGGCUCCUUGUAGUGGCUAUGAGUUGAAGCUUAAAGCGCUCCUGCUCCAGGGGAUCCUCGGGCACGAUGAAAUCUUCGUUGCCGAGGCUUGUCUCCUCUUCGGAGGGUGGAUGGUAACUAUCAUCCUCCGGGUCGUCUUCUAUGGCCUGUUCAUCAGGGUUAUCUUGCCCGUUGCCAUUUUCCUCCUGUUCGGAUGUAGCUCCGACAGGGUGUUCGUUGCUUUCGGCGUCGCCCGGAGUACUAUUUUCUCCGGUGCCCGUGUUGCCAUCCUUUGAGCGACGAGGCUUAGAACGGCGCUUAGGGCGGCGACGCUUGGACUGCGUCUCCGCGGGUUUGUUCUUAUCCGGCUCUUCUUUAUCGUCACCAGAUCCUUUAGGUGUAUCAACCAUGUACACAUCGUAUGAAGAGGUGGCCGUCCAACGUCCAGUGAAUGGCGGGUCUUGGCCUUGCUCCCUGUCGGCAUCGUCGUCCAUACCGUCAAUGUCUUCGGAGUCAUAGUCAAGCACGUCGGUUAAGUCAUCGACGGUGGCUAUGAAGUGGGUGGCGGGUGGGAAGCAAAAUUCCUCAUCGUCCGUCUCCAGCUCGAACCGGACAUAGUUCGGCUGUGAGUCCUCCACCAAGGAUAAUUUCUUCAAAGAGUUUAGUAUGUCACCCAAAGGCGAAUGCUGGAAGAUGUCUGCGGCGUUAAAUUUGAAAAUCGAUAACCGAUCCAGCUCGGUGUCCGCAGAUGCAUCUGGUCCGGAAUGUAUGGCCGGAUACGAGUCCGGAGUUCCAUUGUCGGAAGCAUUGCAGGGUGUCGAGUCCGUGUGCGGCUCCAACGCCAUAGGCUUUAUGGCCUCGGAGGGGAUGAUCUGCCUUGGUACUGAGGCCGUUGCAGCAACAGGAUGCAUCUCCUGGAUGUGCUCCGAUGACAGAUUUAAGUCAUGUUCAUCGGAGAGAAGGGGAGCGAUCGCCGCGGUCUCAAAUCCAUCGAAGAUCAAGUCUCCAUGGAUAUCCGCGACAUAGUUCAAGCUUCCAAAUCUGACCUGAUGGCCAAGAGAGUUCGCCCGCAAUACGAAGCCGCCGAAUACAAAGACUUGUCCGGGGAGGAAGGUUUCUUCCUGGACGGCGUCAUUACUGACGAUCGAAGGGGCCAUGGAAUCCUUUCGUCGACGGCACGGUCGAACUCUCAAUGAAAGCACCAAUGUCGGUGUCAAAACCGGUGGAUCUCGGGUAGGGGGUCCCGAACUGUGCGUCUAGGAUCGAUGGUAAUAUGAGACGCGGGUAACGGUGUUUACCCAGGUUCAGGCCCUCUCUAUGGAGGUAAUACCCUACUUCCUGCUUGAUUGAUGUUGAUGAAUAUGAGUGUUACAAGAGUUGAUCUACCACGAGAUCGUAAUGGCUAAACCCUAGAAGUCUAGCCUAUGAGUAUAUGGUAAUGAAUCUGUCCUAUCCGGACUAUGCCCUCCGGUUUAUAUAGACAUCGGAGAGAUCUAGGGUUACAUGAGGUCGGUUACAUAAGAGGGAAUCUUCAUAACCGAUCGCCUAGCUUGCCUUCCAUGCCAAGUAGAGUCCAAUCCGGACACGGGUAUAGUCUUCGGUCUUCAUGUCUUCAUAGCCCAUCAGUCCAGCCCAUGGAUAACAGAUCGGACGCCCGAGGACCCCUUAGUCCAGGACUCCCUCAGUGGCCGUCCAGCAUCCGGUAAACGGCGGGUUUUCGGCCUGCUCCUCUCCGGCAUCGUUGUCCAUACCGUCGACGUCUUCGGAGCCAUAGUCAAGCAUGCCAGUUAAGUCCUCGACAGUGGCUAUGAGGUGGGUGGUGGGUGGGACGUAAAAUUCCCCGCUCUCGGCCCCUAGUCCGGUAUGGGCGUAGUUCGGACAUUGCUCCUCUGUAAUGACGAGGGAUCGCAUCAAGUCCAGAUCCUCGCUUAAAGGCGAGGUUUGUCCAGGGAGCAGAGGAUCCGUGGAGUACGGCGGGAAGGAAACUCCUUGCCCGAACUCACAUGAUGCUGACUCCGAAGGUUCGGAGCCAGCGUCCAGAGAAGAGUCUGGCUUCCUGACGGUUGCCAGCGACACUGCUUCCUCUGUCUCUCCCGUACUGGGUUUAGUGGCCGCAGAUAGUCCGACAGGAUCAGAAAUCCCGUCUUCGGACCGGGUGACGCUCUCCGGAUAUAGAGCCAGAGCGGAGGUUGGAGUCGUGAACCCUUGGAAGAUCAAGUCUCCUCCGACAUCAGCGACAUAGUCCAGGUUUCCAAAACUAAUCUGGUGACCUGGAGCGUAGCUGUCGAUCUUCUCUAGAUGGCCAAGCGAGUUGCCUCGUAGUGCGAAGCCGCCGAACACAAAGAUCUGGCCGAGGAGGAAAACCUCCCCCAGGGCAGCAUUGUUGUAGAUGAUUGAUGGAGCCAUCGAACCUUCUGGUGACGAUGCAGCGGAACUCUCAAUGAAAGCACCAAUGUCGGUAUCAAAACUGGUGGCUCUCGGGUAGGGGGUCCCGAACUGUGCGUCUGAGGUCGAUGGUAACAGGAGACGGGGGACACAAUGUUUACCUAGGUUCGGGCCCUCUCGAUGGAGGUAAUACCCUACUUCCUGCUUGAUUGAUCUUGAUGAAUAUGAGGAUUACAAGAGUUGAUCUACCACAAGAUCGUAAUGGCUAAACCCUAGAUGUCUAGCCUGUACGAUUAUGAUUGCCUCUAUGGACUAAACCCUCCGGUUUAUAUAGACACCGGAGGGGACUAGGGUUGUACAAAGUCGGUUAUAGAGAAAGGAAUCUUCAUAUCCGAACGCCAAGCUUGCCAUCCACGCAAAGGAGAGUCCUAUCCGGACACGGGAGAGAGUCUUCUGUCUUGUAUCUUCACGGCCCAUCAGUCCGGCCCAUGUCACAUAGGCUGGACGCCCGAGGACCCCUUAAUCCAGGACUCCCUCAAUCUCUGCUCCUUGGGAGCCAGCCUAGUGAGCCUGCCCCUUAGGAGGUCUUGUGUCAUCCGCCUCGCGAGGCUUGGCCCCUCGCGAGGGCCUCGAGUGGUUGCUGAUGAAGAUGGGCCGUACCAGGCCGUUGGCGGAGCCACGCCCUGGGCCGCAGGCAGGCAAGUCUGGGUACCCCCGUUCCCAGGACGCCGAUAGCAUGACCAGGGAAGUACUCUGUGCAAGAAGGAAAAAGAAGCAUGAAGCCAGAUGCCGACUCAUAUGACAGUCGGCAGAUGAAAGAAAGGAAAAGAUAACUCACCAUCGAGCAUGUCCUCGAUCUCGCUGUAGCCGUCGAACAGAGCUGUCUCCCUCUCGGCCCAGCCCGAGCGUUCAGUCUCGACCUCGGCCUGGAGGGUGGCCUCGCCGUCCUUGACCUUCUGGAGCUCCGUCUUGUGCCAGUCCGCCUAGUCUGCCAACUCCUUGACUAGGUGGUCACGCUCCUGGGCCACCUUGCGGCACUCCUCCUCCUUGGCACGCAGGGCGGUUUGGGCUUCGCCAAGACGUUGCUACAGGUCUGCGGCCUCUCCUGCAGAAGACAAGACAGAGAAGACAGUCAACAAGUCAACAAAGGGGAAAAGUGGUUGCCGGAAGAUCCGGCCCGACUGUUCAGCAGUCGGCCCGAAUCUUGGGGGCUACACCCAGCUGGUGCGCUGACGCACCCCCGCAAGAGAGAAAAGACAGAGGCGGUCCGCUUGGCCAGCUCCUGGACCUGGGAGUUGAAGGUGGCCACGCGGAUGUUGUGGUAAUCAUGCAACGAGGACAACAGAAGAAAAGAAAAAGUCAGCACUCGGAACUUACCUUUAAGUUCCGAGCCGCCUGCUCAGCAGCCGGCCCAGAACUCGGGGGCUCCACCCAGUGGGUGCGCUGGUGCGCCCCCACAGAAGAUUACAAGAAUCAGAAACAAGGCACAAGAAGCAUACCCGGACGGCUCGCGUCGCCAAGAACGCCUUCGUAUACCGCUGAAGGGCGGCGCCUUGGGCCUGGAACUGGGCCUGAACGUCGUGCGCGGCCGUGUUCAGGACACCCGUCCCGCCCCCAGGUAUCCACUCUGGCGGGGCAACAUUGGUUGCCUCCGCUUCAGGGGCCGACGAGCUUGCGGCCCCGAUCUCCUACGGCCGUGGCGCUGAGAUCACCUUCACCGCACGCCGGCACACCGGAGUGCGGACCACGGGGGUCAAUCCCACCACCAGCUCGCCAGUGACUGGCGGCGCCAGUGGCACGUUAGGCCGACUGUCAUGGGCCUCGACAGUCGGCGCUUGCAGGGGCACCUCCGCCCCCAAGACGAUGGCGUCGCCCCCUCCCUUCUCCAUGACCGGCUGUUCAUCGCCAACUCCUUCAGACGGCGCCUGGGUCUCUGGUGCCGGUGGCGCGGCGCGCAGAGGGAUGAUGAGUUGCGGAGUCCGACCGCGUGCGGCUUCUUCCGCUUGCGCCUUGGCGGCCCCGUCCUCUUGGGCCAUGGCUGUGGCAUCCGCCUGGACCUUGGCCGCCGCGUCGGCUUGGGCCUUGGCCGCCGCAUCCGCGUCUGCCUGCGCCGCCUUGGCCGCCACCGCCUUCUGCCGUUCCACCUCCUCCCGCUCCUCGCGCGCCUCCCGCACGUUCCUCUCCGUCGCCUCCUGGAGGUCGGCGAGCGGAUCCACGCGGCGGGUGUUGGCGGAGCCCUCCGCCGACCCGAUCACAGAAGCAGAGGCGGACCGCUCAAGAGAGAGCGGGGCCCUAUUCAAGCAAGAUAAGAGGAAAGUUAGAAAGAGUUAACAAGAAAGAAGAAAAGAAAACGCAAGAGAAGCCAAGCACUUGCGCAGACACCGUCGGGGGCUGCUUCGGGGUCCUCUAGAACUGGGCCGCCUUCGCGGCGGCCUGCCGCCGCCUGGUCGAGGCGGCCGUGUUCUUGGGAUUCUUCGGCCGGCUGCCGAAUAGCAGCGAGCCGGCUCGGCGCGCCACCUGGUGUAGUCGGCGUUGCUGAAGAGCUCGCGCCCGCCUUGUCAGCGCCAUGCGGGCGGAGCGGCUCGGUCUCCUCCUCGUCAUCAUCCGACCAAUCCUCGAUGCCGCCUCCUCCGGAGCCGCCUGCUCCGCCACCCGUGGCAUCGUCCUCCUCCAUGGCGGCCGCCCCCAAGUCGGGGUUGUCCAUGUUGCUUGUCGUCUGGUCCGACAUGAACACGUCUCCCGGACCCAGAGCGUCGGCGGCCGACUGGUUCGAGAAGACAUGUGACAUUGCCGACUGAUCAGACGGUAAGGCAAGAACUCAGACAAGUAAAGAAGAGAAAGAAUUGCAAGACUUACCGCAGGCGGCGGGUGCGCGUGGUUGUACAACGGCUUGCCAAUCCACCAAUCCUUCUCCUUCAACUUGUAGUUGGAGAAGUAGUUGACCAGCCGGACCACCUCCACAUCCGGCAGCUCCCGCGUGCACAUCCGGCACGGGUCCCGAUGCCCACUCAUGCUGCUGAUGAUGUGGGGCCGGGCUUGGAGGGGGAGCACUCGGCACGCCACGUAGGCGGCCAGCAAGUUCGUGCCCUUGAGGCCCUCUGACUCCAUCAUCACCUGAAGUCGGGCGAGGGCGGCGGAGGAGGCGGCCGACAGGGAGCUUGGCUUGUACUGCCAAUUGGCGCGCGGCUCUGCAGGCGGGCGGCUACAUAAGCCGGUAGGUUGAUGUAGUGCCUCGUCGGAUGAAUGUUCUUGAUGUAAAAGUAGGACUUCUGCCACAGCUUGGCCGACUGCAGCAGGGAGAUGGGCGGGAAGCGACUCCCGGCACCUGGACGCUGCACGGCCACGCAGGCUCUGCACUGGGCCGUCGUGCCCUUCGCGGCGGUACCGAGCUUGAGGUAGAAGCACUCUCCCCAGAGCUCGAGAGUGGGGAGAGUACCAAGGCAGCCUUCGCACAUGGUGAUGAAGACGGCCAGCAGCACCACCGUGUUUAGCAUGAGGUGGUGCGGCUGGACUCGGUAGAAGUUGAGGAAGGAACAUAAGAAGCCGCUUGCGGGAAGGCCGAAGCCGCGAAGGAAAUGGGACCGGAAGACAACGCGCUCGUCGUCCUCCGGCACCGGCGAGAUUUCUGCCUCGGGGGGGGGGGGACAUGCACCUUCACGUUCGUCUCCCGGGGCAACCGCCGCGUUUGAUGGAGGAAGGAGAGGUGCUCCUCAUGGACAUUGGAGCUGUCCCAGUCGCCGACCCGUAAACGCGCCAUGGACGAAGGAGCUCAUCGGAGGCGCGAUGUGGUGGCGAGCUGGCGAAGCUGCGGCGGAGCAAGAAGGCCGUGGCAAGGAGAGGCUCGGCAAUGAGGAGCUGCGGCAGCGCUUCGGCGAGAGGAGGAGGUGCUGCAGCAGCGGAGAGAAGGAGAAGAAUGGCGAAGGAAAAGGGAGAGGACGGCGCGCGUGCAUCUGCCGCCCCCACCUCCCCCUACUUAUAGCCCCAGGCGGCGGAGCCGAGGGGGCGAGAACGUGGGGGUCGUGGGAUUAACUGUGCCCACCCCCCACGAUCCCACGAUUACCGUGCAGUAAUGGCGUGUAUUAACUGCGCCCCGGAAUCUCAACUGUCUGCCUCGGCCGCAGCGAAUCCGCACGCGUGCCGAGGCCCGGUACUGGCAGGCCCCAGCCUGUGGCGACGUCUCGUCGCGCGCGUGGGCUGGCAGGCCGGCCCGGUUGGCUGGCGCGUGGCAUGCAGAUAGCGGGCGGCAAGCUUGGCGCCCGGCUGGUGUGUCACCUGGCUCCCACGAGGACGUUUCGAAAUCACCAGACGGCCAGCCUGGUCGCGGGCGACUCCUACCAGUCGGACGAAGCGAAGCCACCAGACCGCUCGCAGUAGGAAGCUGCUGAGGUUCUCGCCUUUUCAGCCACAGCACCCCACCAGCUUCGGGGACUACUGUCGGAGUAAAUGACCAUGGGUAGCCUCAUCUGCUCCCCAUGGUACUUCAAGACAUGGGGGCCAGCUACGCCCCUCAAACCUCAUAGGCGAAGAGCUGCCUUCUUUGGGCCGGCUGGUCCGAGCGGCCGUCUGCUAGAAGGCGGCAGAGCCUAGAGGGCGACCGUGAGGUGGGCCGACUCCUAGCAGGCGGCCGCCAGGGAGGCCGGCUCCUAGCAGGCGGCCCCCUGCUCCCUCAAAGUUAGCACCUCAUUACAACGAUGAGACGGGGCGUGGCUACAGAGCAGCCUGCCACCCCCGAAUCCAGGGCAGAAAGUGGCCACAGUGCAGCAUACUGGGCGGACAUCCCUUGCCUGGCGCGACACUGUUGCCAUGUAGCCCGUGACAUCACCCAUGGCAGAGGAGGCCCUGCCCCCACUACGGGCUGUCGGUAUGGCCUACAGGCGGCAGACCCUACCUGUCCGUGAGAAGCCAGAAGGCGGCGAGCCCUGACCAGUCGCCACGGGGGAGGCCGACUCCUGUCAGGCGGCCCUCCCCCUCCCUCAAAGUCUGUGCGCCAUUAAUCAGAAGAGACGGGGAGUGGCUACAGUGAACGCCUGCCAGGCGGCGGACUGUAGCCACGCCCUCCCCGACAAAGCACACAUCAUCAGUGGCGCUGCCACAGUACUAAGAAGCCGGAAGGACCCUCAAGCGGCGGGCGCGGCCUGUCGGCCAAGUACGAGAUAGCCAGCGGGACCCACCAGGCGGCGGGACCCAGUAGCCGGCGGAGAAGCCGGCCACCAGAGUCGCUGACGGCUAGGUCAUACACCCAGCCGAAUUACCAUUGUACCCCUGGGGGAUAGGCCUAUACAAACCCCCAGGGCACCCAUUCAAAGGGUUCAGCAUCAUAGACAACACACCCACAUAGAGAGAGAAGUAGAGCUAGCCUUGCCCUUCUUCCUCCUCUAGCAAAUCUGAAGGAUCGAAAGUAUGUCUAGAGGGGGAUGAUUAGACUACUUGACCAAAUAAAAAUCUAGCCUUUUCCCAAUUUUAAGUCUUGGUAGAUUUUAACAAAUUUAGAACAAGUCAAGCAAUCAACCUACACAUGCAAGUCUAAGAGUAUAGCAGCGGAAUGUAAAACAUUGCAUAUGAAGGUAAAGGGAGGAGUUUGGAGGGAGCAAACACAAUGUAGACAUGGAGAUUUUUUCCCGUGGUUCCGACAGGUGGUGCUAUCGUACAUCCACGUUGAUGGAGACUUCAACCCACGAAGGGUAACGGUUGCACGAGUCCACGGAGGGCUCCACCCACGAAGGGUCCACGAAGAAGCAACCUUGUCUAUCCCACCAUGGCCAUCGCCCACGAAGGACUUGCCUCACUAGGGUAGGUCUUCACGAAGUAGGCGAUCUCCUUGCCCGUACAAACUCCUUGGUUCAACUCCACAAUCAUGACGGAGGCUCCCAAGUGACACCUAACCAAUCUAGGAGACACCACUCUCCAAAAGGUAAUAGAUGGUGUGUUGAUGAUGAACUUCUUGCUCUUGUGCUUCAAAUGAUACUAUCCCAAACACUCAACUCUCUCUCACAGAUUUGGAUAUGGUGGAAAGAUGAUUUGAGUGGAAAGCAACUUGGGGAAGUCUAGAGAUCAAGAUUUAUGUGGUUGGAAUGGAAUAUCUUGGUCUCAACACAUGCGUAGGUGGUUCUCUCUCGGAAAAUGUAUGUUGGAAGUGUAGGCACAUUCUGAUGGUUGUCCUCCCGAAUGAAGGAAGGGUGGAGGGGUAUAUAUAGCCUCCACACAAAAUCUAACCAUUACACACAAUUUACCAAACUCGGUGGGACCGAAUCAGAAAACUCGGUCAGACCGAUUUAGUUUAUAAUGUGACCGUUAGGCAUUUCGGUGGGACCGACAUGUCAACUCGGUGGGACCGAUGUCAUUAGGGUUAGGGCAUAACAUAAUCUCGGUGAGACCGCUUACACAAACUUGGUGGGACCGACUUUGGUAAUAAGCUAACCAGAGAGUUGGUCAGGCAAACUUGAUGGGACCGAUUCGCUCAUUUUGGUGAGACCGAAAUGUUACGAAGGGGAAACAGAGAGUUUGCAUUGCGAACUCGGUGGGACCGAUCGUUCAUCUCGGUUAGACCGAAAUGUUACGAGGGGAAAUAGAGAGUUUGCAAUCCCAUCUCGGUGAGACCGAGAUCCCUAUCAGUGAGACCGAAGUGACUAGGGUUUCUGGCAGUGGCUAUGUCAAGUGAACUCGGUGGCGCCAGAUAGAUCAAAUCGGCGGGGCCGAGUUUGACUUUUGGUUUGGGACAUAUGUGGAAAUGAGAAAGUGGUUGAGGGUUUGUGGAGCAUAUCACUAAGCAUUUUGAGCAAGUAAGCCAUUAAGCAACACCUCAUCCCCUUUUAAUAGUAUUGGCUUUUCCUAUGGACUCAAUGUGAUCUUGGAUCACUAAACAGAAAAUGUAGAGUCUUGAGCUUGAGCCAAUGUGUGUACUUAGCAUUUUGAGGGGUCCACAUUUCUAAUCCAUGCCAUGCCAAUCAUUGAACUUCCUGAAAUAGUCAUCUUGAAGUAGCAUUAGUUCAAUGAGCUAUAUGUUGUUAGUAAUUACCAAAACCACCCAGGGAUAGUUGCACUUUCAAUCUCCCCCUUUUUGGUAAUUGAUGACAACAUAUAGAUCAAAGCUUCGGCAAAUGAUAAUAAGAUUGAAAUACACCGUCGCUUUGAGAAGUUUGUGAUAAGCAAGAGCUCCCCCUAAAUUUGUGCAUUAUUUAAAAUUUGCUUUUGAAUGCAAAUGCACAAUCGAUUAGGAUCAUGGGUUACUCUUCCAUGUCACAUACAUCUUGAUGGAGCGCUCAAAAUGAUAGGAAUUAAAACAUGCACUCAUCACCAAGCAAAGUGAACGAUCAUAUAGGGAUAUAAGAGAUAAUAUCAUCCAAGCAAACAUUAAAGUAUGAUAUGAUCAAACACAUGAUCAUAUAAGUAUCUCACACACAGACAUAAAGUAUCAAAUGAGCACACACAAAAUUUCAACCAAAAUGCAAUAGCCAGAGAGACAAAAAGCAACACUCUCUCUCGAAGCCUAUGAUCUAUACAUUUGUCCCCUUUGGCAACAAGUUACCAAAAAGUUUGAAAAUGCAUAGGGAUAUGCGUCUCUCAGGCUUGGUCUUCGGGAGGUGGUGUAGAGAGGACUCCAAGGAUGAAGGCAUCAGUAGACGUUGUUGGAACUGGUGGAGUGGCUGCACGAGGUGGCACUGAAGUUGUUGCUGCUGGUGCAGAUGAAGUAGCUCUUGUAUCUGGCACUAGCACUGCAGCUGACCUCUGACCUCUUGGCACUCUCUCAAAAGCUUCUGUAGUUGCCUUCCCUUCUUCUCCUCUGCUUCCUCCUGGAGCUGCUCAUUUGCAGUCUGUAUCUCAGUUACUUUCAAAUCAAGAUCAUAGAACUUUGUUUCUAUAAUCCUCUCCAAGCUUUCCUGAUUUUGAGUCAGGGUGGCCAAGCCCUUCUCAAUACUCAAUGUUGCUUGAAUCAGAUAAGCUAGUUGAUCUUGCUUGCUCUUUAAGAACACUUCAGAUGCCUCUUCAAUACUUGGCAUCCUGACAGCUUUUUCUGCCUUUGCCUUUGCUCUCUUCUCUUGUGCUUGCACUGAUGAAGGAUCAUCCUCAUUCAUCACAACUGUGUUAUCCUCAAAAUUUGGGUGCAAAGGUAAAUGCUCCUUGUCCAACAAGUAAGUGCCUGUGCCCAUCUUGGAGUUGAUGAGCACCUGAAUAUGUGGAGCAUACCCACAAGAUCUCUUCUGAUCAGCAGUUGUCCUUUUGAUUGUCUCUACAAUCAGACUCAUGACCUUGAAUUUUUGAGGAACAUCAAAGAUCUGCAACAAGUUGAUGGAAUAUCCUCUAAUCAUGUUGUGAUCUCCAGAUUUGGGUAACAGAGUAUGCCUUAAGAUGGUGUUGAUAGUAGGUAGACUAGACAACAAAUAAUGCACAGAUCCAAACUUGUGUGUCUCCAAAGCUUUAUCUGGGAUCUCCUUGUACAUAUUUGCCAUAGAGUUGUGGUCUUUCUUCUUCUUGGCAUACACAUCCAAAUCAUCAUCAUGCUCUUCUGGGGCAUUGAUCAACUUGGCCCACUCAUCAACAGUUGACCGGUACCUUGUACCUUUAGACAUCCAAACUAUUCUACCAUCUGGAUAGAAAUGAGCAGCGGAGUAGAACUGCAUAAUGAGCUUAUCAUUCCAUUUGGUAAGCUUCUGUCCAACAAACUUUUCAACUCCACAAGCUUUGAAGCUUUCAUGCACACCUGGGAAGUGAUCUUCAUUUUCAUCAAUGAAUUCCCAAUCAACCCACUUCAUAUCACAGACUAUAGGUUUCUUGUCCAACAGAAUGGUCUCAUAGAAAUCUUGUUGUUCUUUGGUGUGGAACCUGUAAUCCACAUCAGUUUUCCUCCUUACAGCAUAGGGAUCAGACUGUCUCCAAAGUCUGAGACCUGCAUCCUUCCUGAUGCUCAUAUCCUCUGCCACUGGAUGAGUGUCAUUGUGGUCUGGAAUCUUUGGUUUCGGUUUCCUCAGCUCAUGGGCUUCAACAUCUUCUUCUUCAACUUCAGGCACUGGGCCUUGUUCUUCUCUUCAGCUGGAAUGUUCCUGGUGCUUAUCUUAGGCUUAGAAGGCUUCUGAGCUUGAGCAGUAACUUUGGGAGCAUUUUUGGGCUUUGAUGGAGCAGCCCCUGAUGUCGGUGUCAAAACCGGCGGAUCUCGGGUAGGGGGUCCCAAACUGUGCAUCUAAGGUCGAUGGUAACAGGAGACAGGGGACACGAUGUUUACCCAGGUUCGGGCCCUCUCUAUGGAGGUAAUACCCUACUUCCUGCUUGAUUGAUCUUGAUGGAUAUGAGUAUUACAAGAGUUGAUCUACCACGAGAUCGUAAUGGCCAAACCCUAAAAGCCUAGCCUGUAUGACUAUGGUAAUGAGUAUCUCUCCUCUCCGGACUAAGUCCUCCGGUUUAUAUAGACACCGGGAGGAUCUAGGGUUACACAAGGUCGGUUACAAAGAAAGGAAUCUACAUGUUCGGUCGCCAAGCUUUCCCUCCACGCUAAGGAGAGUCCCAUCCGGAUACGGGUGCAGUCUUGGGUCUUCGUAUCUUCACAGCCCAUCAGUCUGGCCCAUGGCUAACAAGCCGGACGCCCGAGGACCCCUUAGUCCAGGACUCCCUCAGUAGCCCCUGAACCAGGCUUCAAUGACGAGGUGUUCGGCGUGCAGAUUGUCUUCGGCAUUGCAAGGCGGGUUCCCCCUCGGACGGCUUCCAGGUAAUGUAUUCGGCUUCUAAUUCAAUGCCGCAUCCGUCGGCUUCUGUGCAUCUAUGAUCUCAGCUUCCAAGUGUCGGGCGAUUGUGGACGGUCAGGGUAUUUUUUGCAAAUAACACCCCGGCCAUGCAAGAAAGAGCGUCUAUUUAAAGAGAUUGGGUCUCAGAUCCAUUCGGCGCCACACGGAGAAAACCCUCAGAGAUUGCCAGGAAAGACCAUUCCAACAUGGCUAACAUUCCCAGCACCUCUUCCCGUUCCAACCCAGAGGAAGGUGAGUGGGAGAGGUGCUCUGUGUCCCACAGUCAAUUGGAGAAGUUACAAACGCAGGGAUUUCUCCCUCCUGCAGAUGUGGUCCCUGUUUGAGCAGGGUUGGCCUCCUUCAACGGCAAAUCUCAGGCGGAGGAUUUCCCCAAUCCGUCUGCGAGGGAACGAGUGUGCUUCGUCCCUUAUUUGCCAAGGGGCGUGGGAUUUCCAGUUCACCCAUUCCUCCGAGGGCUUCUGGAGUAUUAUGGCCUCCAGCUGCACAAUUUUACCCCAGCCUCCAUCCUGCACAUUGCGGGUCAUGUCGCUUUAUGCGAACUAUUCCUGGGUUGUGAGGCCCAUUUUGAUCUGUGGAGAAAGUUGUUUUGUCUUGUCCGCGCAACCAUGAGGGAUCGAUAUUUGAAGUGGGCGGGGCCGAAAUAUGGCGUAUUGCCGAGACCGGAUACCUAUCUGGCACACCGAAGAAAGCUUCCGAAGAGUGGACCUCUGAGUGGUUUUACAUUGAUGACGUCGUACUUCCAGAUCCAGUCUGGAGAGGUCUCCCCGAGUUUGCAAGUGUUCCUCUGAGAAACACCACAACUGGCGCCCUCGGAGCCUCGAGGAGGAAGAUAGCGCGGAAGUUUGCCAACUCCUGAGCAAGAUCAGGAUGCUUGCCCAGUCCGGGUAUAUGAUAGUCGAAGUGAUGGUGACCUCCAUAGUACGGGGAGUCCAGCCACUCCAAUAUAGAGGACUUCCAAUGUGGAACUACAAUGGGGAAGAUGACACCUCCCACUGCGGCAGGAAAGGUCUGGACACCCCUGCCGCCCUAGCCAAAAUAUUGGCCGAACUGUUCAAGGGUGAGGAAGAGGAGUUCCUGCGCAUCACGCACAUAGAAGGAUAUUCCAUUUACAAUCCUUUUAGCUGGGUGAGCCCCCAACUCUUUUGCUCCACACAUUCCACUCCCCGGGCUUCGUUCACUAAAAUAUUAACCCAUCCAUUUAUAACAGCACUGACGAAAGACUUCCGAGGGGCUUCACAGCCCCGCCCCACAGCCCGAGGGCCACAACCGGGACCUUGACCCCGGAUUCGAAGAGGAUCCGGAUAUAUUUGUGGUGCUUGAGAAUGGGACGUUUUACCAAACGAGCUAUGACGGCACAGAGGUGGCCAUCAUCGUCGACUAUCCUGGUCUUCUCCCCGCUUCCCAGGUAAGUAAUCAGGAGACACUUUGUCCGAGAGGGUGUUUCUCAUACUUCCUCACCCACCGCACCAUCCUGUGCUCAGAAGGGGAGGCAUUUGGCGCGUUGUAUUGUCCCAAGGGUAUCUCCAAAGAGAGCGGCUCCCACACCGGGCAGGCCUUUGAAGAGGAAGGCAAAGAGAGAUAUGGUCAGGCCUUUCUUGAAGAGGUAUGUGUUUGCAACUAUGCUCUUUGUAGUAGUCGCAUCCAACUGUGACUCAUAUGUUCAUUUUGUAUCAGGAAAAAUGUUCGAUGGACUGUGUUUGGGGACCCGACCAGUCGUACUCCUAAUAACCACGAUUCAGUCCCCGUCGAAGAGACGGGGCCCGACAUGGGAGUGGCACCGGACUGUCCUUCUGCCGAGGGUUCGGAAAAUAUGUCCGUCACCAAUUCGAAAGUGGAGAGUGCCAUGAAUCACUGGCGCCGGAGGGCCGUUUUACGAGAUCCUCGCUUCUCAAAAGAGGCGUUCGGUGCCUUCAGCUCGGCUGAUGCAUACAUCCGAGCUGCUCGAGAUGGGCUUAACAGAGCCACCGAGUAGCAUUUGAAAGAUGUAUAGGUAAGUUUACCUUGUGCGAAUUUGGUAACCAUGUGCCAGUAGCCCCCGAGACUUGAAGCAGUUGGGACAAAUGUUUUAAGGAUCGUUGCAUAACCAGGUUCUUACGGAGAUGAACGACCUGCUAGCCCAAGAGCUGGAGAAGUGCCGGACACAGCUAACUGCCGCUACCACCGAUCUGGAAAAGUUCAAGAAGGCAUCCUCUGGUAAUAUUGUCCUCCAUCGAGAAAUGAAAAAUUAUAUGCCAGCUAUGUUAAAACUGCUGCUUGUCUCAUAACAGGAUCAUCGGACCAACUGGAAGAGGAGCUGAAGGCCGCUCAAACGUGCGAACAAGAGGCGAAGAGACAACAUGCCGCAGGCGAGCGUGUUCUGACCCGAGUCAUAGAGGAGAAAAACAAACUCCAAGAUUCCAACACCAAACUGGGCGAAGAACUGAAAGAUGUGCGAACCCAGCUAGCCGACUCCGUGAAGGAGAACAAAAAGCUGCGAGGCGACAUGUUCAGUAUGUGGCUGAAUUUAUCUUAUGACCGUUUGGAGGGAAAAUUAGCUGAUAUAGCUAUGAUUGCUGGUAUGUUAACGGGCCGUCCCGAAGAGGAGGUGUCCAGAUCAUCAAGUGAUCUUCUGCAAGGGUUGUCGCAGUUGCACGUGCAAGCCGGCAGGCAAUGUAGAGUGUAGCCAAGGCCUUAUGGCCAUCUGCCUCCCCUCCAGGAAGUAUGGAGAAACUUGUAGAGCUGUUCAAGGGAGCGUGGUGGCGUAUCCGACUAUGGAAGAUAUUGGCCUGCCGAGAGGGUGCGCGAGAGGCCUGGGCUAUGGUAAAUACGCGGUAUACCAAGCUGGAUCCGAAUCACAUGGCCCGAGUCGGACCGCUAGGGUCAAAUGGGGAAGAAAUUCCCGUUAGUUUAGUAUAUGGCCAAGUAGAGGUGGAUGCUAGAUACUCCCAACAAGAUUGUACAUUGGACCGCCUGUUGGACGGUAUAGAGGAGGAAGUUUUUAAGUCCUAAGUGACUAUGUAUUUUCCUUCUAGCUGGAUUGCAAAAUGAUUGUCAUGGCCGACCUUUUCGCUUCGAUCUCUCGACCCGAAGGUGCGGAGUGCUUCCGAAUACCUGAGCGGCAAAAUAAACCGGGGUAUGCGUGGAAACCAGGCGUAGGGGUCAUAGGUGCUUGAAUAGACAAGUUGUAUCCAGCUAGUUAUGUUAUAUUACAUUGAAAUUGUAAGAAACAUCUUCCAGAGAGAAUAGUUCCGUUAAGGGUUCCUUCCCUGGGUGUGCAUGCAUCUAUGUGCAUGUCCGGACUGUGAUGAAAAAAUCACAGUGUGUAUAACUUCUGGGGGUUCAUAAUGGAACGAGUGCAAAAAUAUCUUUAGUUCACCGACCGAAUAUUCCCUCAAGAACGCUAGCUUUUGGCUUCACCCAGUCUGAGGUACACAUCCGGAUGACCCGGCAGUAACAAUCGCAGAGGUGCUCCCUUUAUGCCCUAGCCGAACUAACGGGAACGUAGGGCAUAAGCACAGGAGCCAAGAAACCUAGCUUGGCCAAAACUUAAGUCAUAUCGAUGCAUAUAAUGGCAAAGAAAAGGUACAUAUGGGAGAAAACGCAUAUGUAAUGAGCUUUAUGCUCGAAAAAUAGAAAUAGCAAGCUUCUGUCCAAGAAUCCCCCAGGUAUGAUAGACGUACUACUUGAAGAUGUAUGAGUCGGUGGUGCACGGUCUAACCGCGCGAAAGCCUUUGAGGCUAAAGAGAAAAAACGAAAAGAGAGGAAAAAAUGAUGAAAACAAUAAGAGGAAGGAGACGAACAAAGAGUUCAGCGCUAGGCAUAGAAUCUUCGGAGUCUGGCCGCGUUCCAGGGGUUCGGCUCUAGUCGAUUGUCUGACGCAUCACACAAGUGGUACGCCCCUCCGGUGAGAACUUCAUCGAUGAUGAAGGGACCCUCCCACUUGGGCUUGAGUUUGUCCUUUUUCUUCUCCGGCAGGCGUACAACGAGUUCGCCGACGUUCUAAGUUUUGGCCCGCACUUCUCUGCUUUGAUACCCGCGAGCCUGCUGUUGAUAAAAUGCGGAAUGGGCUCUUGCGACGUUGCGCUCCUCCUCCAGGGCGUCUAAGCUAUCCUGCCGAUCGAGCUCGGCCUCUCUCUCUUCGUACAUGCGCACUCGAGGUGAGUCAUGAAUAAUGUCGCAGGGUAGUACUGCCUCUGCGCCGUACACCAUGAAAAAAGGUGUCUAUCCGGUAGUGCGAUUGGGAGUGGCCCGCAGCCCCCAGAGUACAGAGUCGAGCUCCUCAACCCAGUGCUUGUCUGAUUCCUUCAAAGACCGCACUAGUCUAGGCUUAAUGUCGCUCAUAAUAAGACUAUUGGAUCAUUCGACUUGGCCGUUUGUCUGUGGAUGAUAGACAGAGGCGUAAUCGAGCUUGAUGCCUAGAUUAGUGCACCAGGUUUUCACUUUGUCGGCUGUGAAAUUGGAGCUGUUAUCAGUGAUGAUGCUGUGCGAAACACCAUAACGGUGUACGAUGCUGGAUAUAAAGUCUAUUACUGGACCGGACUCGGCCGUUUUAACUGGUUUGGCCUCUAUCCACUUGGUGAAUUUAUCCACCAUGACUAGCAAAUAUUUUUUCUUAUGGCUUCCUCCUUUAAGGGGUCCAACCAUAUCCAGUCCCCAGACCACAAAAGGCCAAGUGAUGGGGAUUGUUUCUAGGGCGGUGGGGGGCAUAUGGCUUUGGUUGGUGAAGAGUUGGCAUCCAACGCAACGUUGGACAAGGUCCUGUGCAUCCGCUUGGGCCGUCAGCCAAUAGAACCCUGUACGGAAGGCCUUGCUAACAAGGGCUCGAGCUACGGCGUGGUGCCCGCCGAGACCGGCAUGAAUCUCAGCCAGGAGCUGCCGCCCCUCCUCCUCGGAGAUACAUCUUUGAAGGACUCCGGUAGCACUUUUCUUAUUGAGCUCUCCGUCGUGAACCUUGUAGGCCUUCGAACGCCGGACAAUGUGGCGGGCCUCAUUCUGGUCCUCAGGAAGCUCCUUCCUGUUGGUAGGCCAGGAAGGGUUCGGUCCAUGGGGCAAUGACUGCCAUGAUGAGAUGCACCGACGGUGUUAUUUCGGUGGCUGAGCAUCCGAUGAUGUCGGUGUUUUCGGAAUAUGGGGUUAUAUUCAGAUCCGGACUAGUGUUGCCGUUUUCCCCCUGCCACACCACGGAUGGCUUAAAAAGCCUUUCCAGAAAUAUAUUAGGUGGUACGGGGUCGCGCUUAGCGCCGAUACUAGCAAGAACGUCCGCCGCUUGAUUACUUUCUCGAGCCACAUGAUGGAACUCGAGCCCCUCGAACCGAGACGACAUUUUUAUGACGGCAUUACGAUAAGCUGCCAUCUUCGGAUCUUUGGCGUCGAAGUCUCCAUUUAUUUGAGAUAUUGCAAGGUUUGAGUCCCCGCGCACUUCCAGGCGUUGUAUGCCCAUGGAGACAGCCAUCUGGAGACCAUGCAGUAAGGCCUCGUAUUCGGCUGCAUUGUUGGAGUCUGUGUAUAGUAUUUGGAGUACGUACUGAACGACGUCUCUAGUAGGGGACGUUAAAACGACGCCCGCCCCUAGCCCUGCCAGCAUUUUGGAGCCAUCGAAAUACAUAACCCAAUUUGAAUAUGUGCCGUACUCUUUAGGGAGUUCGGCCUCUGUCCAUUCGGCGACGAAGUCAGCCAGUACUUGGGAUUUAAUAGCUCGACGUGGUUUGUAUGUAAUAUCAAAUGGAAGGAGAUCAAUGGCCCAUUUGGCAAUCCGGCCCGUGGCAUCGCGGUUGUUUAUAAUGUCAUUGAGUGGUACUUCGGAAGCCACCGUCAUCGAACACUCCUGGAAGUAGUGACGGAGCUUUCGGGAUGCCAUGAAGACCGCGUAUGCUAUCUUUUGAUAAUGGGGGUACCGGGAUUUGCAUGGUGUAAGGACAGUGGAUACGUAGUAUACUGGCUUCUGAAGCGGGAAUUUGUGUCCGUCCUGUUCUCGUUCAACGAUGAGCAUGGCGCUCACCACCUGAUGUGUUGCCGAUAUGUAUAAUAACAUGGGUUCCCCGACGUUUGGCGCGGCCAGGAUUGGGUUGCUCGCUAGAAGGGUUUUUAUUUCCUCCAGUCCGGUUGUUGCCGCGUCCAUCCACUCGAAGUGAUCGGUUCGCCAUAGAAGGAGAUAGAGUGGCAGUGCCUUUUCUCCCAAUCUGGAGAUAAAGUGGCUUAGAGCUGCCAUGCAACCCGCAAGCUUUUGGACUUGUUUAAGGUCUGUUGGCGUAGCCAAUUGUGACAGAGCUCGGAUUUUGGCUGGAUUUGCUUCAAUUCCUCUAUUGGAAACGAUGAAGCCCAGCAGUUUUCCAGCGGGGAUGCUGAAAACGCACUUUUCCGGAUUGAGCUCAAUGUCAUACGCGCGGAGGUUAUCAAAUGUGAGACGUAAAUCGUCUAUUAGUGUUUCGACGUGCCUAGUUUUGAUGACAACGUCCUCCACAUAAGCUUCAACUGUCUUGCCGAUCUGUUUCUCCAGGCAUGUUUGAAUCAUGCGUUGGUAUGUGGCGCCGGCGUUCUUGAGCCGGAAGGGCAUGGUGUUGAAGCAGAAUGGCCCAUGUGGGGUAAGGAAUGCUGUUGCAGCUUGAUCGGACUCCUUCAUUUUGAUUUGAUGGUAUCCGGAAUAUGCAUCAAGGAAACACAGUGAGUCGUGUCCUGCGGUAGCAUCAAUGAUUUAAUCAAUGCGGGGGAGGGGGAAGGGAUCCUUAGGGCAAGCCUUAUUGAGGUAUUUAAAAUCGACGCUCAACCGCCAUGAUUUGUCCUUCUUUGGUACCAACACCAGGUUUGCCAGCCAGUCCGGAUGUUUUAUUUCUCUGAUGAAUCCGGCCUCAAUUAGCUUGGCCAGCUCCUCCCCCAUAGCUUGGCGUUUGGGUUCGGAAAAGCGCCGCAGUGCUUGUUUAACUGGUUUGUAUCCCAUUAAGAUAUUAAGGCUAUGUUCGGCUAGCUCGCGUGGGAUUCCAGGCAUGUCAGAAGGGUGCCAGGCGAAUAUAUCCCAGUUUUCGCGAAGGAAAUCCCUUAGUGUGGCGUCGACCGUUGGGUCUAGUUGUGCUCCAAUAGAUGCUGUCUUCUUGGGGUCCGUUGGGUGGACCUGGAAUUUGACUAUUUCUUCUGCCGAUUUGAAGGAGGUGGAUUUGGGUCAUUUGUCUAAGAUCACAUCGUCCCUAUCCAUCGUGGAGCGCAGUGCGGUUAAUUCUUCGGCUGCGAGGGCUUCAGAUAAUGCCUCAAGGGCCAGGGAUGCAGUUUUGUUUUCGGCGCGGAGUGCUAUGUCCGGAUCACUGACAAGAGUGAUUAUGUCGUUUGGUCCGGGCAUUUUGAGCUUCAUGUACCCGUAAUGAGGUAUAGCUUGGAAGCGUGUAAAAGCAUCUCGCCCCAACAAGGCAUGGUAUCCGCUGCUGAAAGGAGUCACUAGGAAGGUUAUUUCUUCGGACCGAUAAUUCUCCGGUGUGCCGAAUACCACGUCAAGUGUGAUUUUCCCGCACACCGCGCCUCCCAACUGGGAAUAAUUCCUCGGAAGGUCGUGCUGCUUUGCUUGAUGCGGCUUCUGUCUAUUUCCAUCUUGUGGAGUGUAUCCUCAUAGAUGAGGUUUAGUCCGCUGUCGCCGUCCAUGAGGACCUUGGUGAGUCGAAAGCCGUCCACGAUGGGACUGAGGACUAAUGCGGCUGGUGCUCGGACUGUCCUGUAUUUUGGUUCAUCACCGGCAUUAAAGGUUAUAGCCGUGUCGUUCCAAGGGUUUAUCGCGGCGAUUUGACAGACUUCGGCGAGGUCGCGGAGUGCCCUUUUGCGCUUAUUGUUUGAAGCAAAUGUCUCGAAGACCGUCAAUACUCUGGGGUCGUCAUCUUCUGGAGGGUGUUGCUCUGGGGUGUUUUUGGUAAGGAUGUCCUCGCCGCUCUUGGCUACCUGCCGGAGUAUCCAACAUGCUCUAAGGCUGUGGGUUGGUAUGGUGUCCGGUGCUGUGUGUAUUUUGCACGGUCCAUUGAGCCAUCCCUCCAGAAUGGUUCCGUGCCGCGUAAUGGGUUUAUGUUUCUUCGCUGUUGGACUGGGCGUGUCACUGGGAUACGCCCUUUUCGCCUGGGCCAGCGAUUGAGUUGGGGCCGAUGGCUCCCAACAAGCUGCCUGAUCUUUCCAGGCGCUUUCCAUUGCGAUGUACUUCUGUACGAUAGUUGCCAAUUCAGUGAAGUGUAGUAUGCGGCGGCGAUUAAUGGCAUUGAGGAUUCCUUUGUUCGUGCAAUUGUUGCAGAACGCUGAUAUCGCGUCCUCGUCGCGGCAAUCUUUAACCUUGUCCUUCACAAGGAGGAAUCUGGCCCAGAAGUGGUGGACCGUUUCCUGAGACUGCUGUUGUAUGCUCAUCAGAGCGCUUAUGUCUGGGUGGGUGGGUGGAAUUGAAUCCGGACCCUGACCCGAUCGAUGAUCCGGAGUCUGAAGGUUUUCUGGACGUAACAGUCCGGACUCCGGAGUAUCUUCUGGUUGCUUGUGCCCGUCGUCCGAUUCUAUGUUCGGAAGGCCGGUCACCUCCUUUUGCUGGUGGGGAUCCGACUCUAUUGGGUCGGCGAUCCGGACAUAGUCCGUCUAUAGUAUAGGGGAAGAGUCGCCGUCUUGCUUCUCGACCACCACUAUCUGGUGGGUGACUGCUGGAGGGUUCCUGAGUGGAGGCCCUAGCCUUAGACAUUGGAAUUCUCUUUGUAGGUGUCUUCUUAUGCAACCCUGGCUUGGUUGCAGCAGCAGUGCCAUAUUCCUUCUUCAAGACUUUCUUUUGUAGCUUACUUCCUCCUCAACAGCCACAUAGUCCUCAUCCUCAGAAUCUGAGGUUCUCUUCUUCCUAGAUCUGGUGGCUGCCUUGGGAAAAUUACUUGGAGUUCUCCUGUUGCCCUCAUAAUAGCUGCUUGAGGGACUAGUGCCCUCACUCAUUUGCACUUGCUCUUCUGAUCUGUUCUGGCUAUCACUCUGGUCAGGCAUCUUGGCAAGCAAACUGACAGCAAACCCUGUGAAUAGAUAUAGAUGAGGUAGAGUGGAUGAGCAUCACAAAGGGCAGAGUUUUUGCAAAACAGAUGAGUCAAAAACUUAGUUUUAGUUCUCCAUAGAAAUCAUUUCGGAGCUACCAAUUUUUUAAACUCGGUGACACCGAAGCAAAUUUUGGAGUCUAAACUAGUGAACUGGGUCAGACCGAGUCACAGUUCGGUGGCUCCGAGAUUGCUAGGGUUUCACUAAGAAUUGAACUCGGUCGCACCGACUUGCAAUUUUCGGUCAGACCAAAUAACGCAUGUGCAAUGGCCUAAGCCAAAUCGGUGAGACCGAUUUCUACAACUCGGUCGGUCCGAGAUUAGUUCGGCGGAGACCUAACCCUAAAUUUUCGAAUCAAAUAUAACCUAAAGGAAGUUUUCUCUGGAUAGAUUGAUUCCAUGCGUGUUAAUGAUCAUGGCCAAGCAAUGUGCUAAGAAUCGGAGUAAGGGAUUAGCACAAAGGAUCGAACUCAUACCCUAGUUCGACGGGAGUUCGCUACAGCGACAACGACAGGGCAUAAUCCCAUUGACGGCGACGGAGACCAGUGGCGGGAGGUCGCUGGCGACGAGGAGACGAUUCGGAGACCCGAGGCGGCAGAGCAGGACACGCACGGGCUUAGGGGUUUUGAAGAAAUUUCCAACAUGUCACCCGUGGGUAUAUAUAUCUUGACCCCGUCGGUUUGACCGAGUGGAACAACUCGGUGGCACCGAGAUGCAGAAUCGCAGCGGUUACUGCAACUCAGUGUGACCAAAAAGUUCAAAUCGGUUGCACCGAGAUUGAAAACCUAGAUCAACUCAGUGAACUCGGUGUGACCGAAAUGAAUGGAUCGGUCAUACCGAAAUGCACAGAGAGGUUUUGGAAGUUUAAUUCUAUGACGAAUCGGGGACUCUGAGUGCUCCUCACACAGAGUGGUUCGAAUCUGACUUGAUCAAACUUUGUGAUGUAGCAUGAAUAGAGUUUGAGACGAGAAAAGCAUAGAUAGCUAGAGGAGGUACUUAGGCAUUCUUGUCCAUCCACUUGGCAAAAGAGAAAAAGCCAAACAAUCAAAGCAACAAGUGGAUGUCCUCGAAUGAAUAAAAUAUGCAAUUAACAUGCUCACACAAUAAAAUGGCAAAUGAAAUAUGUGACAAAUCAUGUACAAACACUCUAGCAUCUAUCAAGCAAUUGACGAUGACUAGGUCAUCUAUAUAUGAGUAUAUUGACUUAGGAGUCAAAUGAGAACAUUUGAUCAUAGGUCAUACUCAUCGUUUAAGCACAAGUGGGGUUACCACUUUUACAUAAAGCAUUGUUGUGUUCACAUCAUUAGAGUUGCUUUAGCUCAAUUGAUUAGAGUAAAGCUCCCCCUAGAUGUGAUAUCCCCCCUAAGAGGGAUGAACUAACCUUGGGUUUUGUCGAUGAUGACUUCAUGUAGAUUUUGAAGAUGUGGAUGCUCAAUGUUGAUGUAGAUCAUUUGGAGCAAUCCAUUGGAGUGAGUUGCACUUUCAAUACCUACACGGGUUAGUCCCACAAGGAAUAAACAAGGAUAUCCAUAGAUAAAGAGUGAUAUACACAUAGAUGAUGUCCAUGAAAGCAUUAGGUUACCUUGUCCCUUGUCUUACCAACAAGAGGGUUUGUGACUCCCUUAACUAGUGCAAGAUGUGGAAGUUGUUUGCACUUGUCCUUGCCAAAAUGAUAUGAGUGAAGUAUAUUGGCAGAGUCACCCUCAAGAACUCUCUAGUUCUUCUUCUUCAGGAUCCACAUCAUCUUGAUGGGAAUCCUUGGAGUUGUAGUCGUACUUGAUGAAGUGGAACUUGAUGUAGUCUUGGGAACCCACUUGACCAAGGCCUUGGGAGCUUCUUCAAAUGCAUCAAUCUCCUCUUGAAGAUUGUCCUUGCCUUUUUGCUUAUGGUCUUGUGGUGGAAGAUCAUCUUGAGCUUGUGUCCCUUGGAAAAAAGUAGGAUCAUACUUCUCUUGUUGAGCAACAAACUUCAUCUUGGGGUAUUGAUCUUCUUCCCACUCAACUCCAUUGGCAUUGAACUUUCGUUCAAAACCAACACCUUGAUUCUUCCGGUGCCUUCCUUGCUUGCGUACAAUUUCCUCAAAUUGCUUACUUCUGGCAAGGCUCUUGUAAACACCUUUCUCUAUAAUUCCCUUCAAUAAGCUAUUUUCUUGCUCAAGUGUAACUUGGCUAAGAGAAUCAUUAGUGGAAUCAAGAGAACUACUAGAAGCAACAACAUUGAAUUUAGCAUGAUUAUUGUUACUACUAGAUGAAGAAUCUUUCUUACUUUUGUUGCUAGAUCAAGAGAAUCUUUCACCAACAUGAGCUUGAUGUCUUCGUUUUGUGUAGCUACUUGAUGACUUGUCCUUCCUUUCCGAAUCCUUGCUUCUCCGAGCGGUUCUUCGUUCAUAACGAUCAUCUCUACUCCUCCUCUCUCUAGGUGGUGAUUAUUCUCUUCUACUUCUCCUUUUGGGUGAAUCUUCUCUUCUUUUGUAGGGGGUCGUACACUCAUUGGAGUAGUGUCUAGGUCUUCCACAAUUGUAGCAAUUACGCUCAUGACUCGAAGAUCUUUUGUCAUUGUAGGACCUUGACCUGGAACUUCUUUCCUUGCUUCUACUCUUGUAGAACUUGUUGAAAUUCUUCACCAUUAGGCUCAAUUCCUCAUUGAAGGUUUGUUUCUCACUUGAUGAUGUAGGAGCAUCACAUGAGGCUUUGUAAGCACCACUUGACUUGUUGUGAAGCUCUUCCUUAUCCUUGAGUGACAUCUCAUGAGCAACAAUUCUUCCAAUGGCCUCCGUUGGCUUGAGAUAUUUGUAAUUGGGCAUCAUUUGGAUCAAUGUGCACACGGUAUCAUAUUUUCCAUCCAAGGAUCUUAGGAUCUUCUUGAUGAUGAAUAUAUCGGUCAUCUAUUCACUUCCUAACCCAGCAAUCUCAUUUGUGAUGAGAGCAAGCCUAGAGUACAUUUCAGCGACACCUUCACCAUCCUUCAUUUUGAACUUGUCAAGUUGACUUUGGAGCACAUCCAAUUUGGAUUCCUUGACGGAGUCGGUACCCUCGUGCAUAUCAAUCAAAGUAUCCCAAAUUUCCUUUGCAUUCUCAAGACGGCUGAUUUUUUUUGAAUUCUUCGAGGCACAAUCCGUUGAAGAGGAUAUCGCAAGCUUGAGCAUUGUAUUGCAGCAUCUUCAACUCUUCCACGGUAGCUUCACGGUUCGGUUCUCUCCCAUCAAAGAAUUCACCUUGCAAGCCAAUACACACAAUAGCCCAAAUGGCGGGGUUAUGUCCAAGAAUAUGCAUUUUCAUCUUAUGCUUCCAACUAGCAAAAUUAGUACCAUCAAAGUAAGGACCUCUACGGUGAUAAUUUCCCUCGCUAGACGCCAUACUCUCCAAGGUUGUGAAACCAAGGAUAUGAUCACCAUAAGCUAUGGAAAUCAACGCAAAUGGAGACCAAAUCUCUGAUACCACUUGUAGGAUCGUAAGUAUGUCUAGAGGGGGGUGAUUAGACUACUUGACCAAAUAAAAAUCUAGCCUUUUCCCAAUUUUAAGUCUUGGCAGAUUUUAACAACUUUAGAACAACUCAAGCAAUCAACCUACACAUGCAAAUCUAAGAGUAUAGCAACAGAAUGUAAAACAUUUCAUAUGAAGGUAAAGGGAGGAGUUUGGAGGGAGCAAACGCAAUGUAGACACGGAGAUUUUUCCCGUGGUUCCGAUAGGUGGUGCUAUCGUACAUCCACGUUGAUGGAGACUUCAACCCACGAAGGGUAAUGGUUGCGCGAGUCCACGGAGGGCUCCACCCACGAAGGGUCCAUGAAGAAGCAACCUUGUCUAUCCCACCAUGGCCAUCGCCCAUGAAGGACUUGCCUCACUAGGGUAGAUCUUCACGAAGUAGGCGAUCUCCUUGCCCGUACAAACUCCUUGGUUCGACUCCACAAUCUUGACGGAGGCUCCCAAGUGACACCUAACCAAUCUAGGAGACACCACUCUCCAAAAGGUAAUAGAUGGUGUGUUGAUGAUGACCUCCUUGCUCUUGUGCUGCAAAUGAUAGUCUCCCCAACACUCAACUCUCUCUCAUAGAUUUGGAUAUGGUGGAAAGAUGAUUUGAGUGGAAAGCAACUUGGGGAAGACUAGAGAUCAAGAUUUAUGUGGUUGGAAUGGAAUAUCUUGGUCUCAACACAUGAGUAGGUGGUUCUCUCUCAGAAAAUGUUUGCUGGAAGUGUAGGCACGUUCUAAUGGCUCUCCUCACGAAUAAAGGAAGGGUGGAGGGGUAUAUAUAGCCUCCACACAAAAUCUAACCGGUACACACAAUUUACCAAACUCGGUGGGACCGAAUCAGAAAACUCGGUCAGACCGAUUUAGUUCAUAAUGUGACCAUUAGGCAUUUCGGUGGGACCGAUGUCAUUAGGGUUAGGGCAUAACGUAAUCUCGGUGAGACCGAUUACACAAACUCGGUGGGACCAACUUUGGUAAUAAGCUAACAAGAGAGUUGGUCAGGCAAACUCGGUGGGACCGAUUCGCUCAUUUCGGAGAGACCGAAAUGUUACGAAGGGGAAACAGAGAGUUUGCAUUGCAAACUCGGUGGGCCCGAUCGCUCAUCUCGGUUAGACCGAAACGUUACGAAGGGAAACAGAGAGUUUGCAAUCCCAUCUCGGUGAGACCGAGAUCCCUAUGGGUGAGACCGAAGUGACUAGGGUUUCUCGCAGUGGCUAUGUCAAGUGAACUCGGUGGCGCCGGAUAGAUCAAAUUGGUGGGGCUGAGUUUGACUUUUGGUUUGGGACAUAUGUGGAAAUGAGAAAGUGGUUGAGGGUUUGUGGACCAUAUCACUAAUUAUUUUGAGCAAGUAAGCCAUUAAGCAAUACCUCAUCCCCAUUUAAUAGUAUUGGCUUUUCCUAUGGACUCAAUGUGAUCUUGAAUCACUAAACUAAAAAUGUAGAGUCUUGAGCUUGAGCCAAUGUGUGUCCUUAGCAUUUUGAGGGGUCCACAUUUCUAAUACAUGCCAUGCCAAUCAUUGAACUUCCUGAAAUAUUCAUCUUGAAGUAGCAUUAGUUCAAUGAGCUAUAUGUUGUUAGUAAUUACCAAAACCACCCAGGGAUAGUUGCACUUUCAAAAAUAGCUCCAGGAGCGACCUUGUAGCCACCCUAUUGACAUAGUGAUCAUGCGGAGACCCCGCAAAGCAGGACUAGGGGUGUUAUCUCCUAGGAGAGCCCCGAACCUGGGUAAGAUGCUUCGGCGUGCAUGUCUACGCCUUAUCCCGUUUCCAGGCACCGGCGACGUAUUACUCUGCCCCACCAUGAUAAGCCAUCCUUUGGCAUAUGUCGCACGACACCCCCGGCAUACUUUUCGUUGAAGUCCGCAUGCCUUUGGACGUCGCCGGUGGCAUUUGGACGUCACCGGUGAAGGUGGUGUCGACGAUCGAGCGGCCUCGUUUAUCAUGGCAUCCCGGUGCCAACGACGCGAAGCUGACAAUGCUGGCAUUGAUCAGGUACGCCACCGCCUGCGCCCCCUCCUCCUCCGUGAUCGCGUCAAAGAGGUGGUUGUGGUUCCCCUCAUUGACACAGAGAUGCCAUCCCUCGCGGCAUAUGGUGUAGGCGUUACGCACGGAAUCGAGCACCGCCCGCCGCUUAUCUACGAAACGAGGAUCUGCCAAAAGCAUGGCCGCGACAACCCGAUUGGACGCAUGCUCGUCCUCGAUCUGGCCUUCCGCCAACCAGGGCUCCGAGAGGAGUUAUAGGCUGUAGCACCACUCCUCAUGUAGCAUCUGAAGCGCAGACACUGGCGGUGCUGCUCCUCCUGCUCUGCCAUGACGCGGUUGUAGUGCGCCUCCGCCUGCUGCAGGAUGAACCCGGUCACCGACGCGAGCGCUUGCUCCGCCUCCAUCGCAGAAUCCUCGUUGUCCGAGUUAUCCUGCCGAAAUGCGAUGCGCCGGGCUUCCCAAUUGUGCACCUCAAGCGCGAUUUCGUGACGGUGUUAGGAUCUUCCACCACCCACGGCACAUCCCAAAAGUUGUGUCAGCGGUCGACGAAGGAGGAAGGAAAGGGGGUGGCGUGCCUACGGCUCGGAUGGAGGGAGACAGGGCCCGGAUGGGUUGAGUUUUCUGCCGUGCUCGACCAUCUUUAAAUGGCAUGCGCCUGAGCAAGUGGAGCGACCCGCAACUUGAAUGCGGGUGCCUGGAGUUGGCUUAUCUGUAAUCAAGCCGGUGUGAAUGUCAGGUGGGUGUACAUAUGAUCAGCUAGUUUGGAUGCGGUAGGAAGUCAUCUCGUCGUCCCGCUUGUCAAGUAGGCUCUGAACAUGUGUUAACGUGGCGAGGAGAGCGAUUAUACACAGCGCGAGCAACGGGUCAGAGUUGGCUUAUCAUUCAUUGCGCUAGUGUGGGUGUCAAACAGGCAGACGAACGGCCAGCCGGCUUGAAUGUGAUAAGAAGUGACCCCAUCUAGUCAAGUUGGCUUCCAGACUGACAUGAAUGUGACACCGAGAGUGAAGUGGCGGUUGACGCGGAACGGCGCAACGAGGGUUUUGUGUGGGUCAGGGGAUUCAGACGCCUACAUGGCAAAUGUUCGGAAACCCUCAAACCUCUCUGCUUUUGCUUCCGGUAUGUGAAAUUUCUAAUGGCUCGUAGUCCGCUCGAAUUUGAUGCACGGUGUUAGAUGACUAAAAGUACUGCGAUCCAAACAUUUGAUAGCAUUUUGGUGAACCGCAUUUGAGUUUUCCUUAGAGCAUUUACAAUCAGACUCCUUCUGACCGAGUGACAACCCGGUCAGUGACCAGUCAGUUUUCUCCGACCCAUACGGCCUCCUCAAAUGGCCCCUAUACAUCCGGGCUGAUCGACAUCUCCAUAUCGAACACAUAUCUUGAGCGGAUAUGAGGAGGCCCAUCCCAUCCGCCACAUCUGACCGGCCCAUAUUGGCCCGCAUCGACCCCACCGUCCCCUAAAAUAUCCUCACCCGGACCAUACCCUACCUUGCUCUCUCACUCUCCGCUCCCCUCCCCAUCGAUUCCCCUUCCCUCUCUUUCACUUCCUCUCUCAAUGUAGAGCACCAGCAGCGCCUCAGGCAGGGAUCCGAUUGCGAGGAUGACCCCAUCGAUUUGGACGCCCUUGUCCGCGAGGCGGAGGUGGAUGAUGUUGAGGGGCUCGCUGUUCGCAUCAUGCUGCAGCAUUUUGAUGACCCACAAGUAUAGGGGAUCAAUCAUAGCUCAUUUUGAUAAGUAAGAGUGUCGAACCCAAUGUGGAGCAGAAGGAAAUGACAAGUAGUUUUCAGUAAGGUAAUGUCUGCAAGUGCUGAAAUUGUAAGUAGCGGAGUAGUUUGAUAGCAAGAUAAUUUGUAAUGAGCAAGUAACGAUAAUAGUAAAAAAAGUGCAGCAAGGUAGCCCAAUCCUUUUUGAGGCAAAGGACAGGCCAAAACAGUCUCGUAUGAUAAGCAACGCGUUCUUGAGGGUACACGGGAAUUUCAUCUAGUCACUUUCAUCAUGUUGGUUUGAUUUGUGUUCGCUACUUUGAUAAUUUGAUAUGUGGGUGGACCGGUGCUUAGGUGCUGUUCUUACAUGAACAAACCUCCUACUUAUGAUUAACCCUCCCGCAAGCAUCCGCAACUACGAGAAAAGUAUUAAGAAUAAAUUCUAACCAUAGCAUUAAACUUUUGGAUCCAAUCAGUCCCUUACGAAAUAGCGCAUAAACUAGGGUUAAGCUUCUGUCACUCUCGCAACCCACCAUCUAAUUGCUAAUCCACAAUGCAUUCCCUUAGGCCCAAAUAUGGUGAAGUGUCAUGUAUUCAACGUUCACAUGACACCACUAAGGGAAUAAAAACAUACAUACUAUCAAAAUAUCUAACACAUAUCAAGUUCACAUGAUUACUUGCAACAUGAUUUCUCCCGUGACCUCAAGAACAAAAGUAACUACUCACAAAUGAUAAACAUGCUCAUGAUCAGAGGAGUAUUAAAUAGCAUAAUGGAUCUGAACAUAUAAUCUUCCACCAAAUAAACCAUAUAGUGAUCAACUACAAGAUGUAAUCAACACUACUAGUCACCCACAAGCACCAAUAAAUAGUUCCGGUAACAAGAUUGAACACAAGAGAUGAACUAGGGUUUGAGAUGAGAUGGUGUUGUUGAAGAUGUUGAUGGAGAUUGCCCUCCCCAAGAUGGGAGAGUUUUGUGAUGAUGAUGACGAUGAUUUCCCCCUCCAAGAGGGAAGUUCCCCCGGUGGAAUCGCUCCGCCGGAGGGCAAAAGUGCUCCUGCCCAAGUUCCGCCUCGAGACGGCGGCGCUCCGUCCCGAAAGUCUCCCCUUAUUUUUUCUAGGUCAAAAUUACUUAUAUACCAAAAGAUGGGCAUCGGAGGUGGGCCGAGGAGGCCACAACCCACCAGGGCGCGCCUGGGGGGCCUGGCGCGCCCAGGUGGGUUGUGCCCACCUGGUGGCCCCCCUUUGGUGUUUAUUGGCUCCAAUAUUUCUUAAAUAAUCCAUAAAAAGUCUCCGUGAAGUUUCACCUCAUUUGGAGUUGUGCAGAAUAGGUGGCCUGGCGUAGCUUUUCCAGGUCCAGAUUUCCAACUGCGAGUAUUCUCCCUCUUGGUGUGUUCCUUGUAAAUUAUGAGAGAAAAUGCAUCAGAAUUACUCCAAAAAGCAUUAUUAUGGAUAAAAAUAUUAUAAAUAACAGUAAGAAAAAUGAUGCAAAAUGGACGUAUCAACUCCCCCAAGCUUAGACCUGGCUUGUCCUCAAGCAAAAACCGAAAUCGAAGAACAUGUCCACAUGCUUUGAGAGAGAGGUGUCGAUAAAAACAAAAUACGGACAUAGAAGCAUCAUGUUGAUUAUUAUAACAACAACAAAAU